GACGACAGACUCGUCACUGACAUUGUCGGUCUGGAAGAUACCCUUGCAGACACCGAUACGGUCGUCACGGGUGGGAGCCCAGUAGAACUUCUCCAUACGACCAUCACGGAUCAGAGGAGCGUAGAGCGUCGAGAAAUCGUUACCGGUGACGACGAUGGGCACACGGGGGUUCUCCUCCUUGUUGUACAUGCCAGGGAGCUGCACGUUGGUGGGGGCAUCGGCGAUGUUCAUCAGGGUGGCGUUCACCAUCUGGUUGUUGACGGUGUACUGCGUGGUUCCGCCCAUCCUACCCGCACCAGCGUCAAGAUCGUUGAUGAAGAGGCAGCACAUCUUACCCUUCUUGAUCAUGUCUGCAGCCUCACGGUACCGCUGCCUGAUGAGCUUGGCUGGCUCUCCAGCGUUCCCACUCUCCAGCUCUCCGGCACUCAUCAUGAUGGGGCUGUGGCAAAAAGCACAGGUCAUUAUCUAUUAUUACUAUUAUCUUAUACUCCCUCUGUUCUUAAAUAUAAGUCUUUUAAGCGAUUUCAUCAAGAAACUACAUACAAAACAAAAAGAAUGAAUCUACACUCUAAAGUAUGUCUAUAUACAUCCGUAUGUAGUCCUUUAGUGAAAUCUCUAAAAUGACUUAUAUUAUGGAACGGAGGGAGUAGUAUUUCUUUAGGGAGGAAGUAGAUGAAUGUAAAUUCUUACUUGAUGCCCAUCUUGGCGAACACAAGCUCACACUGGAAUGAUUUUCCUUGACCCUUGCCUCCCCAGAUACCCAAGAUGAGUGGGAUCUGAAUUUCGAUUCAAGGUCAGUUUCAGAAUCAGAAUGAUUCAUUUUAUUGCUGCUUCUGCUAAUAAUCAAUUAAAUUAAAUAACGAUGUCUGCAUGCAUCGAUUAAUUCAACCUCCUUUUUUCAAAAAAAGAAAAGAANNNNNNNNNNNNNNNNNNNNNNNNNNNNNNNNNNNNNNNNNNNNNNNNNNNNNNNNNNNNNNNNNNNNNNNNNNNNNNNNNNNNNNNNNNNNNNNNNNNNNNNNNNNNNNNNNNNNNNNNNNNNNNNNNNNNNNNNNNNNNNNNNNNNNNNNNNNNNNNNNNNNNNNNNNNNNNNNNNNNNNNNNNNNNNNNNNNNNNNNNNNNNNNNNNNNNNNNNNNNNNNNNNNNNNNNNNNNNNNNNNNNNNNNNNNNNNNNNNNNNNNNNNNNNNNNNNNNNNNNNNNNNNNNNNNNNNNNNNNNNNNNNNNNNNNNNNNNNNNNNNNNNNNNNNNNNNNNNNNNNNNNAGGUACCUUGAUGUUGGGCAGGGUCAUGAAGUUUUUGGAGAGAUGGACAACAAGCUUGUCCAUGAAAGCAGGAGCGAUGUAGAAGCCUCCCAUGGUGUUGUCGAAGUCGUACUUCCGCAGGCCCUGGCUGACGUACUCGUAGGAGCUGAGGACGGCCUCGUGGGUGCCGUCGCCCGUGGGCGCCUGGAAGAGCGAGUCCACGAUGCCCUUCCCUCUGGUGAUGUCCUGCUGGUCGUCGGAGAUAUCGUACGCAAGACCCUUCCACUUGUCGGUGUUCCUCUUCUCGUCGAUGUUCUCCGCUGCCAUGACUGUGAACCUGUUGGCCUUGGAGCUCUUGCCAUGGUAGUUCACGGCCGAGGUCACCUGCUUCUUGAGCUUCUUCCCGAGGAAGUUGGUCGGCGUAGAAGCCUGUAUACAUUACAUUACAUUACAUAUACACACAUGAGAUGCCGCUGAAGACACUGAUAGGAUAUCAUCACUAAGCAAGAGAUGCAAUCAAUCAAUCGAUCGAUCAGUGUGUGGUACGCACCGGAGCCCCGACGGUGGAGGAGAAGGCAGCAGCCAUCUCUGUGCUGCUUGGUCGACCUUGCUAGCAACGGUGGAUGCGCGCGGCUGUGCUGGUGAUCAGUGAUGAAUGACUGCUGCUGCUCAAAGUAUAGAGGCCGAGCUAUGUGACGCCUUAAAUACACGUGGAUUGGCAUAUUGCUGCUCUGCUGUGGGGAGCUUGGAGGAGGAGGCGGCAUACACACACCCCUGCUUGUGGAUCAGCCUCCCGAUCCCCCAGAGGCCACACGCUGGAGAUUGGGUUCUGAGCGUCUUGGCCGGCCGGUUGGAUGACUUGGACCGUCAAGACCAAACGCUGCAGCUGCAGCUGCAGAUACGUCUGCUGGCCAUCAAUUCCAUGGCCUUCCACGGCCACAGAAUCUAACCAUUCAUGCUCAAAUCAUCUCCCAUUUCUUCCGUGCCUUUCAUUUUUUCCUUUCACUCGGUCGCCCGUAUAUACUAUCUUGUUUAUUAGCCAAGCCAUGUCAUUGCAUAACCACAAAAAAAGGGUCUCUCGUUGCUUGUUGGAUGAGGCACCCAAGAUUGUAUUCUAGUUCCAAGUACCACAAAUUUGUUGCUGCCAUACAUAUACUGGUUUGUUGAUAACCAUCAAGCUAGGGAUGUCAUUUGGCACCACACAAAUCAAGUCCUGGUUGACAUCAAGCACAUGGGUUUGUACUUUUGUCUACUCCAAUAAAUAUUGCCACUUCGGUAAAAAAAAAUGAAGCGUAUUAAGAGAAAAGGUAGCCAUGCAGUUUUGCUUUGAUGAAAAGAUUAUAGAACGUGUCUAAUGUUUUCAUGUAAAUGUAAUUCGUGUUGCCUAGCUCAAGUUCCCUGCUGGUAUUCUCAUUGUUUGGGUCUAGUACAGACCAUUAAUUGAUCAUUACGAUGAAUGCGAGCCGUUUGGCUCGCACAAUCUUUGUCCAAUACACCUUCUAGUGAUGUUGUCCUUGUUAAUCAACUUUGUGGUGCAAAUUGGGGUUUCCGUAAUCCGUCAAAGGGAAAAUAUGUAUGUAUGUGAUGAGUCAUGACCCCCCACAUCCACAGUACUCGUACCUAAUCAACAAGCUUCAGAUGAUUUCCACAUAUGUGCUAAUCUUCCGACAAGUGCUAAUAUCAAGAGAUAUAUAGGUUGUUGGGACUUGGGACCCUAGCUUGCAUCCAUUGGAGAAAUGAUUAAGCGGAAAAUGACGAUUUAAGAACAUAUACAAUUCCUUUCUCUUUCAAGAAGAGACUUACAAUUGGGUUACCUGUGCGGCGAUGAAUCAAAAAGUUUGAGUGGAUUUCGGGUCCAAAAUAGUCCAACAUAUAUAUAGUGCAUGCAUGCAUCUUAAGUAGAGUAGGACCUUCUACUUGCCGUAGAAGGCACCGGUCUUCAUGGCGUCGUCGUUGGCUUGGCCGAGCGCCGCCUCGCUGAGGUACUUGUCGGCGAGCUGCACACGCUUGACGUUCUCCUGCUCCUGGACCAGCAUGUGGCCGUACUCCAUGAGCUUCUCUAUGGUCAUCUUGGGCUGGUCGAACGUGGGCGGCCCCUCCCUGGAGUUGACGAGGCGCUUGGAGAUGUUCUCCACGCCGAUCUCGCCGACCCACUUGCGCACCUCGUCGUCGUACACCCGUGCCCGCAGCGCGCCGAAGAAGUCGAUGGACUGCCCCGGGAAGGUGUCCACCAGCCUCACCACGGCCUCGUCCGGGACGUUGUCGGUGCGGAAGAUGCCCUUGCACACGCCGAUGCGGUCCUCGCGGGUGGGCGCCCAGUAGAACUUCUCCAUGCGCCCGUCACGGAUCAGGGGAGCGUACAGCGUCGAGAAGUCGUUGCCGGUGACGAUGAUGGGCACGCGGGGGUUCUCCUCCUUGUUGUACAUCCCCGGGAGCUGCACGUUGGUGGGCGCGUCCGCGAUGUUCAUCAGGGUGGCGUUCACCAUCUGGUUGUUCACCGUGUACUGCGUCGUCCCGCCCAUCCGGCCCGCGCCGGCGUCCAGGUCGUUGAUGAAGAGGCAGCACAUCUUGCCCUUGUUGAUAAUGUCGGCCGCCUCGCGGUACCUCUGCCGGAUCAGCUUGGCCGGCUCGCCGGCGUUGCCGCUCUCCAGCUCACCGGCGCUCAUCAUGAUGGGGUUGAUGCCCAUCUUGGCGAACACCAGCUCACACUGGAACGACUUGCCCUGUCCCUUGCCUCCCCAGAUACCCAGGAUGAGAGGAACCUUGAUGUUGGGGAGUGUCAUGAAGUUCUUGGCGAGGUGGACGAUGAGCUUGUCCAUGAAUGCCGGCGCGAUGUACAGCCCGUCCAUGGUGUUGUCGAAGUCGUACUUCCGCAGGCCCUGGCUGAUGUACUCGUAGGAGCUUAGGAUGGCCUCGUGGGUGCCGUCGCCCAUGGGGGCCUGGAACAGGGAGUCCACGAUGCCUUUCCCCCGAGUGAUGUCCUGCUGGUCGUCCGAGAUGUCGUAGGCCAGACCCUUCCACCGGUCCGCAUCGGUCUGCUUGCCCUGGUCAAGUUCCUUUUUGGCCGCCAUGACCCUCACCACCCUGCUCUUCAUCUUGUUGCCACCAUGGUAGUAGUUCUUCACCUUCUUGCCCAGGAAGAUGGUCGGGGUCGACGCCUGCACAAGUAUGACAUAGUCAGCCCCAAUCACAUUCAUGCACGUUGGUUCACUUGCUGCUUGCUUUCAAUAGCAAUUGCCACGAUGAACGCUUAAUUUGCAGAUAUCAACCCUUCAUUUGGGCAGUUCCAGACUUCACUCGCUAUUCAAUUGCAUCCGCAUAUAUAUAGAAUUAAUUAGUCCAUCCAAAAGCUCCAGCUGAUGAACAGGGGCGGAAGGUCAAAGGUACAAUACCAGAAGUGGUGGGCCCGUGUUGAAGAGAGUGGGGGCCUAGGACCCUACUCAAAAUAUGAAAUUUCAAUACGAUUUGAAUAACUUUUAGGAGGAAAUGCUAAAACUCAAUGAAUUUGGAUAAAAUGUGACACCACUCUUAAAUCGUUUUUGUUACUCUCCAUCAUUUACCUCCCUUAUUUUAAUGAUGUUUUGCCACGAGUCAAAAUAGUUUUUAGAUCCGUCCCGUCCCGGCAUGCUGGGCCUUGAAGUUGAUGCCCCAUGGCUUGAAUGACAUAUUGAAUUACAAAACAACCUACUCCCUCCGUCUUGGUUUAUAAGUCAUCUUAUGAAAAAAAAAUCUCAAAACACUUAGGCACGAUGCAUUAAUUUUCUGCUUGUUUUUUGUUUUUUUUUACAUGGAUAAAGGAAUCAACCAAUAAGAGACAUGGAACGUGUAUGUUUUUAAUGACUUGCGACUAACUAGCACGACAUGCAGUGGUUAAUUCAUUACAUGCAAUGAUAUUAAUUAGCAAAUUAAUAUAUUUUUUUGUUUUCCUCUCCGUUUUGAUCACGAUGCACAACCUAAUAUGACCUAUACACUGAGACGGAGGGAGUAACUAAUUCAGCCAAAAGUUCUUACUAAUGAAGAAUGAGGAGAAGCAUACUUCACUAGUUAGUUUCUAAUAUUAUNAUUCUCACACACGGGCUUGACAACCGUGUGCCUCCACUCGAGACUUUUGAGGUUCUAUCUUUCCCUUCCUCCUCCACGCAAUAGCUUCGAAAAAGUGUAACCAUUAGCUUCCCACAUUUCUCAACACUCCCCGUCACCACCCUCACCUCGCCCUAUUUGUAAUUUGCAUCGUGAUUUAAUAAACCUCACAAUAGUUGCUCCUAAAUAAAAUCUCGCUACCACCUCCCGUUCAUUCUCAUCCGCGCCAUCAUGAAACAACCAUUAGUAUUGCCUAAAUUAUCUUUAUCGUGCUAACUCAAUAUUCAAGGUCAUGCCCAAACCGAGAUCAAAUGACCUCAUUUGAUAGCCUUCGCCCCAUGGUGGCUAGCCAUCCGCUGCCCACCCCAUCACCCUAGACUCACCCGAGAGUUUGGAUACCCUAACCCGCUACCCAAACCCGAACUGAACCAAAAUACCCGAAUUGUCGGGUAAUAUGGGUAUCGGGUUAAGGUUUGGUUCUCAUUUCCUGGCUAUUCGGUUUUCGGGUUAGGGUUCAGGUUCUAGUCUGUAAAACCCAAAAUACCCAUACUACCCGAAUUAUUCAUACUAGUCAAAUUAUUUAUGUUAUUAUUACACUUACAUGUUACACAAACUAACUAAAACACCCACACUAUCUGAAUUAUUCAUGCCGAAACUUAAUGUGUGCUCUGAAUAUUUUGGGUUUUUUGGGUACCCGAGUUACCCAAACCAAAAUUUUGGGUAAUUUGGGUUCGGUUAUUUUUUUGACAUAAAAAAUUCCGAUUCCCAUUUUUUUAAUACCCGAAUUACACAUGAACCGAAAUAACCAAAAUACCCGAACGCUCAGGCUGACCAUAGACAGUCUUUUUAAGCCCCGGAAGGCAUGGGUGAGGAAAGAGAUGCCCUUGUCGGAGUCAACACAUAGAGAGGAGGCCCAGCUUGUCGCGUCCGAAUCUCAAAGCAAGAUCACACGGUCACAAAUUAUAUUAAAAACUGUACAAAAUGAAACAAUUCAGACCUGAAAAUGUGUAGCAACUCUGUCAAUUAAUUUAGAGAGACGGUGAGUUUUCUUUUUGUCGUACACACGUUGUGUCCACUGAAUUAAGGAUUAGGAACCACGAGUGUACGUGGAAGUGUAGGUCAUACGUACCGGAGCUCCAACGGUGGACGAGAAAGCAGAAGCCAUGGUGUUGAUCGAUCGUUCUCUUCUCGCUGCUGAUAACUUAAUUACAGUAGUUUCUAAUUAAUUUGAUGUGCGUACGUGCAGUGGUAUAUGCAAGCUAGCUCGAUCAGCUCUCAGCUGGAUUAGGCCGGCGUACUACUAGUACACCUACAGAUGCAGGUGGACUGAGAUCGAUCGUCAGUGAUGGAUGGAGCUGAUAUGGAUAAAAGAGAGGGGUGCAGUGGUUAGCAGGUACAGAUGCGAUGCCGAUCGAUGGAGCUUGGCCAUGGCGUCUUAUAUAGGUGCAUGGACAGAUGGCCAUGGAGCAAGCGUCCAACACGACUGGAGUGACCUAGAGCGUGAGAGACUAUUCUAGAGCGUCCCUGCGUAAUCACGCAGUCAAGCCACAUAAGCUGUGAUUAUCAGGCCGGCUGCGAUAAGUAGCUAGUGAGGCGAGCCAAGUGGAGUGGAUGAUGAGAUGUUAAUUGUGUGGAUAGGGUUGGGCAUCUCCCAGGAGCCACACGCUGAGGAUUGGCUCCAUCCGUCUCUACACAACGGCGUCGACGCGGCUGCUCCUCAGCCUUCCGAUCGGCGCAUCCAACGGCCCAAAUGUGAUCUAAGCUGCAUGCAUUCGGUUCCUUGUCGGAUGGGGAUCCGGAGCAUGCAUGCAUGCCUGCCGUACACCACUACGGAGUACUACAAUACUAAUAGAUGUGCAUGCAAAUUUUCUAGAAUGUAGAUGGUUAUUGAUUGGCUGUGAAAUGAGUUAAAAAAUAACAUUUACACUACACAUGCAUAUAGAAGUAGUACAACGGAGUACUAAUUAGCUGCUAGGAGUAAAUGCAACGUGCCUUAAUCUUUGUUUAUUUUGAAAACGCACGCAAGUCUAACUGUACCUUCUAAACCGUGACGGAGGAAGUAAAUUUCUUUUUUGCGGGUAUGCAUGCAUUAUUACUCUAGUUACGAGACCGAUGCCUUCACCCUUCACCAUAAAAAUCACAUCUCGUUCGUUCUAUUUUUCUUUCUUUUGCAUUUUGCAUGAAAUGUCUAGGCUGGCUUUUACACCGCCACAAAGUACUAAUCCCAUUCCCUCCAGUAGGGCCCGGGUGAAACUUCAUGAAGUAUUUUUAAAUAUUCCCUUCAUUUUUAAAAGGCUGGAAUCGGGUCUAAUGGUUAGUCUUCUGUCCCGGUUCUGGCCACCAACCGGGACCAAAGAGAUGCCUAUAUAUACCCGCACCCUGCGCACCCUGUGCUCUGGUUUUUGGCCUAGGUGUGCAUGACAUGCUCUUGUUGCCACCCUUCUAUGCAUGCACAUGAGGUGUUCGAUGAAAAGCCCGAGCCACACUUAAGCUUUCUCCUCUCCAAGCUCAACCUCCAAGCUCCAUUUUCCUUAAUAUUUGUCUAAGUUUGGCGGUACACCAACUACACAAGGGUUCUAAAAGUUUAGCUAGUUUAGCUCAUUUCAAAUGGUCUAAAAGUAGAGUGGUUUGUGGGUUUUAGUGUAGGAGUGUAUGUGGGAGUUCUUUUGAUUUAGAUGCAAAAUUUGAGCUCAGAUUAACUUCUUAUAGACUCUGUACAUGUAUAGGGUGCCGUCUCGUGCCCGUCCUCGCUGUCGUCGAUCGCCCGCGCCGAUCUCGUUGCCAGCACCACCGUGGUGAGCCUCUUUUUCUUAUCUUCUUUUUAAAAGAAUUUUUUUUCUUACUUGUAUGAUUUAGAUAGAUAUUUGUAUAAAUUACUUACUUUUAUUAUUUUUUGUUAUUAUAUAGUGCGAUGGUUUUGGUAUCCACCCACGUCGUCCCUCGUCCGGCCUAUGAUUCGGACGUGGUAUAUUUUCUUUUAUUACUAUUUGUUUCAUUUAGUGUUUAUGACGAUAAUUAUGCCGACCAAUGUGACAUGGAUGUUUUUAUCUAGGAUGUAUGUGAACCGGAAAUUCCAACCAACCCUCUUGUCGAGAGGUUAAAUUUAGUUGAAAAAGAAAACAAUUACUUGAAGAAAAAAUUGAAAAUAAUUGAGGAGAAGAAUAUGGAACUGGAGUUGCAUGUUGCCGAUGUCGUCGAUGAUCACAAGAUCAACAUGGAUGCAAUGCGGUUGAAGAUGGAUGCAAUGCGCUUGAAGAUGAAUGCAAUGCGCUUGAAGAUUAGGAAUAUUAGAAAAUACGCCACUGAUGAAGAGGCUUGGUAUCAUUAUGUUCUUGGGUCAUUGUUACCUUACUUGUGAUUUUGAUCGCAUUUGUUGUGGCAUUUAAAUGUUUUACAUAGUUGUAUGUUGUUUUAUGAGAGUACUUUAUGUAUUUAUUUUUGCAAUAAUAAUAUUUGAUCACUACAGUACUUUGAUUUUAAUGUGAUGCUGAACUUGUAUUAAUUUGGUCAUUUCUCUAUUCAUGAUGUUCUGCAAUGGUUUUUUGAUAUACUUAAUUUCAUAAUACAAAUGAACCGCCAAUGGAUGUAUGGCGACCGACACACUCCGGAGUACAUUAUGAACCGGGACUAGUGCCCCUCCCCUGCCUACCAAUUAACCCUCCCCACCCACUUAUUUUUUUCUGAUUGGAUGUGUGGGAGGUGGGUGCUAGAAUUUUUUCCUUUGCUACGCACAAGAUGUGUUUGAUGAAAUGCCCGAGCCACACUUAAGUUCACACAAAAUGGUAUCCUCGACAGAGGUUAGCAACCUUAUCAUUUUCAUCUGUAAUUGAUACAAAAAUAUUGCAUGUGUCCAUGUACGGUGGCCAUUUCACUAUUCAUGUAUGAUGCAGAUCGAUGCACGAAAGCGAUGGAUGUAUGACGAACGACGUAGUUUUGGAUUUAUUGCAGGCCUACAUAAAUUUAUCGAUGUGGCUGAGGCAAACAAAGUGGAUAAUUUUAUGCCUUGUCCAUGUGUUGACUGUCGAAACGUCAGGGAGUACUCUAGCUCGAAAACUAUUCAAGGCCACGUGCUUCGGAGAGGUUUCAUGCCCAGAUAUUAUUGUUGGACCAUGCACGGAGAAAGAGGGGUUAGGAUGGAAGACAAUGAAGAAGAAGAAGAUGAUGACAACUAUCCUAUGUUCACUGAAGAAUACGGUGAUACUGCAAUGGAAGACAAUGAAGAAGAAGGAGGUGAAGACCAACCGGCAUGAGAUGAGACCGUUGAUGGUCUUGGUCGGGUCAUUUCUCAUGCAAAGCGAGAAUGCAUACACACAAGGAGAGGUUGAAGUUGGAGGCCAUGCUAUAGGAUCAUAAAAAGUUGAUGUACCCAAAUUGCGAAGAUGGCAGCACAAAGCUCGGUACCACACUUGAACUGUUGAAAUGGAAGGCAGAAACUGGUUUAUCUGACAAGGGAUUUGAGAAGUUACUGAAAAUAUCAAAGUCGAAGCUUCCAAAGGAUAACGAAUUGCCUGAGGCUACGUACGAAGCAAAGAAGGCUAUCUGCCCUCUUGGAUUAGAUAUGCAGAAGAUACAUGCAUGCAUUAAUGACUGCAUCCUGUAGCACGGUGAGAAGUACGAGAAUAUGGAUAAAUUCCCGGUAUGCAAUGCAUGUCGGUACAAGAUCAGACAAGAUGACCCUGGUGAUGUUGAGGGCGAUGACGAGCCCCUGAGGAAGAAGGUUCCUACUAAGGUUAUGUGGUAUGCUCCUAUAAUACCAUGGUUGAAACGUCUGUUCAGAAACAAUGAGCAUGCCAGGUUGUUGCGAUGGAACAAAGAAGAGUGUAAGAAAGACGGGAAGUUGAGACACCUCGUUGAUGGGUCGCAGUGGAGAAAAAUCGAGAGUAAGUACCCGGACUUUGCAGGUGACGCGAGGAACUUAUGGUUUGGUCUAAGUACAGACCGCAUGAAUCCUUUUGGGGAGCAGAGCUGCAGUCACAACACCUGGCCCGUGACUCUAUGUAUCUACAACCUUCCUCCUUGGUUGUGCAUGAAGCGGAAGUUCAUUAUGAUGCCAGUGCUGAUCCAAGGACCGAGGCAACCCGACAACGACAUUGAUGUGUACCUAAGGCCAUUAGUUGAUGAACUUUUGCAGCUGUGGGCCAACCAGGUGUACAUGUGUGGGAUGAUCACAAACAGCGGGAAUUUGACCUACGAGCAUUGUUGUUCGUAACCAUCAAUGAUUGACCUGCUCUUAGUAACAUUUCAGGACAGUCAAACAAGGGAUACAAUGCAUGCACGCACUGUUUAGAUAAGGCUAAAGGUACAUAUUUGGAAAAAUAUAAGAAGGUUGUCUAUGUGGGGUCUCGUCAAUUUCUUCCGACCAAUCAUCCCAUAAGAAAGAAAGGCAAGCAUUUCAACGAUGAGGCAGAUCACCGAAAGAAGCCUAACCUCCCUACUGGUGAUGAGGUAUUGGCUGUGGUCAAGGAUUUGAAUCAAAUAGUAAUCUUUGUAAAGGGUUUUGGCAGUCAAUCUGUUUCGAAAGACGUGGUUACCAGUCACGUGCCCAUGUGGAAAAAGAAAUCUUUAUUUUGGGAGCUACCCUAUUGGGAAUACCUAGAGGUCCGCUAUUCAAUCCACGUGAUGCACUUGACGAAGAAUCUUUGCGUGAAACUGCUAGGCUUCCUGGGCGUGUAUGGGAAGACAAAAGAUACACGAGAAGCACGGGAGGAGCAACAACGUAUGAAAGACCCAUACGACAAGAAGUGUCAAUACUUAAGCAGCUACGCUCUUACCAAAGCAGAGAAGGAAAUCGUUUUUGAAUUCCUGAGUAGUAACAAGGCCCCCGCUGGCUUCUCUUCUAAUAUAAAGGUAAUAAUAAAUAUGGCAGAGAAAAAAAUUCCAUAACCUGAAGUCUCAUGAUUGGCACAUGAUUAUGACGUAGUUGCUUCGAGUUGCAUUGAGGGGGCUUCUACCGGAAAAUGUUCGAUUACCCAUUGUGAAGCUAUGUGCAUUCCCCAAUGCAAUAUAUCAGAAGGUAAUCGAUUAAGAAUGUCUGGAAAGGAUACAGAGGGAUGUGGUCCAAUGUCUUGUCAGUUUUGAUUUGGUGUUCCCCCCGUCCUUCUUCAAUAUUAUGACACAUCUCCUAGUUCACCUAGUCGACGAGAUUUCCAUUCUCGGUCCUAUAUUUCUACACAAUAUGUUCCCCUUUGAGAGGUUCAUGGGAGUCUUAAAAAAUAUGUUCAUAACCGUGCUAGUCUAGAAGGAAGCAUCUCCAAGGGCUAUGGAACAGAGGAGGUCAUUGGGUUUUGUGUAUACUUUCUUCCUGGUCUUAAGCCGAUUGGUGUUCCUGAAUCGCGGCAUGAGGGGAAACUGAGUGGAAAAGGCACGCUAGGAAAGAAAGCAGUGAUAUGUAGGCACGGGCAUUCUUUCACUCAAGCACACUACACAGUUCUACGAAGUUCCACCUUCGUGGCUUCGUAUAUCGAGGAACACAAGAAUUUUGUACGCUCCGAGUUCCCGGGGAAGGCUGACUCCUGGAUUGAAGAAAAACACAUGUAUACUUUCGGCAGUUGGUUGUGAGCACGUCUCAUGAAUGACAACACUGUUGUAGAUCAACUCUACUUGUUGGCCGUGUCACCUUCUUGGAUUGUAUUACAUUUCCAAGGGUACGAGAUAAAUGGGAAUACAUUUUACACGACCGCCCAAGAUAAAAAGAGCACCAACCAAAACAAUGGUGUCCGCUAUGAUGCAACAUAGGAGAAUGGGGAAAAGGACACAUACUAUGGUUACAUAGACGAGAUAUGGGAACUUGACUAUGGACCUACUUUUAAGGUCCCAUUGUUUCGGUGUAGUUGGGUGAAUAUGAAUGGAGAAGGGGUAAAGGUAGACCAGUUGUACGGAAUGACAAUAGUUGAUCUCAAGAAUCUUGGUUACAGAGACAAGCCAUUCGUUCUAGCCAAUGAUGUGGCUCAGGUUUUCUACGUGAAAGAAAUGUCGUCCAGAUCGAAAAACAGAAGAAAAAAAUGAAUACAUCGGACGGUGAGGCAAAGUUUCACAUAGUUCUUUUAGGGAAAAGAAACAUCACGGGAAUCGAGGACAAGACACACAUGUCAGCAGAUUAUAAUAAGUUUGACGAAAUUCCGCCCUUCACACUGAGAAUUAACCCAAGCAUCCCGUUAAAUAAUGAAGAUGCUCCAUGGUUACGGCCAAAGUGAUCAUAGGCAAGGGAUCGAAAUGUAAAUCUAUGUAAUGUAUUAAACUUUAUGUGAUAUGUACUAAUGUAUCAAACUUUAUGUUAUGUGUACUAAUGUAUUAAACUUGGUACCACUUGGUUCUAAAGAAAAUGCACUUUUCCUUUUAUUAGUGGGAAAACGACGUUUUUUGUGAAAGAGGUACCAACUACGAGAACUAAAACAACUACGAGUACGAGAGCUAAAACAACUACGAGAAGUAAAACAACUAUGAGAACUAAACCCUAAACAGCUACGCCAACUUUCAACCUUUUCAGAGCCCAUUUGUAGGGAUUUUAAAUUUCAGGGUCAAUUAGCUCAAAGAACAAACUAAUAGCAAAAAGAAUGAAGUAAAAAGAAUCAACUAAAAAGAAUCAACUCAAAAGAAUCAACAAAAAGAUUAACUAAAAAGAAUGAACUAAAAAGAAUCAACGAAAAUUAUCAAAGUGUUUAUUUGUUAAAAAGAAUCAAGUAAAACAUUAACUAAAAACAAUCAAAAAAAUAUCAACUCAAAAGAAUUUUCAUAAAGUUUUCAGAGCCCAUUUGUAGUGCUUUUCAAAUUCAGGGUCAAUUAGCUCAAAGAAUAAACUAAUAGCAAAAAUAAUGAAGAAAAAGAAUCAACUAAAAAGAAUGAACUAAAAAGAGUCAACCAAAACAUCAACUAAAGAGAAUGAACUAAAAAUAAUCAACUAAAAUUAUCAAAGUGUUUAUUUGUUAAAAAGAAUCAAGUAAAAAAUUGACUAAAAAGAAUCAAAAAAAUAUCAACUCAAAAGAAUUUUCAUAAUUUUUUUUAAAAUAUAUAAUAGAAAACUAAAAUAAAAGAGAAAAAAUAUAUUUAAUAGCAAAGAAUUAAAAUAUAAACUGGGACUAAAAAUUAUUAAAGUAAAAAAAUGCCACCUACUAGGCCAUGAGGACGUGCAUACGACUAGAAACCCUAGAAGCUAGAUGGGCCAGGAUGCAGGCCUGUAGAAGGCCUAGUAGGACCACAGGGUAGUGAGAGUGUGGUUAGGCCCGUAGGCCUGCGUUUGAUAGGAUCUCGAGAGGGUUGGCACAACGGGGCUUAUAAACCACUCUCAACUCCUCUCAACUAGCUAGGUGGGNCGGCCUCCACAGCUAGCUCCAUCUCCGGGCCCCCAGUGAGCUCCUCCUGUCACCACCAUCGCACCCACACCAUCGUUGACCUCGUGUCCCCGCCGUCGUUGCGGGACCCCUCGUAGUGGCAUCAUUUUCGUGCCGUCCCUCGAGCCUCCUCAUCGUUGCCGCGCCCUUCCCCUCCGGUGAGAAGUAUGGCAUCCGUUGUUUCUGUUGACAGAUUCAGGUUUAGGGUUGUACUGAGAUUGUUACAAUCUAAAAAAUGGUUUAAUGAAAAUGCAAUUUGUGUUCUAUCUCAGCAUGUUCUAAUUAGUGUUCAAGUGAAGAAAAGUGAAGACAUUGUUGACUUUUGACUAAAUGUGCUCUGGUUUUUUAGAUGUGCUCUAGUUUUUUAGAUGAGAUGUUUUGUGAAGAUGAGAUGAGAUGUUUUCUGGAAAUGUGAGAGAGAUGAGAUGAGAGAAUUUAUUUUAGGCUUUUUUAGAUAUAGAAACAAAUGUUAAAAUUUGCAUGUGCUCUGGCUUUCUUGUUGCAUAAUGAGAUUAGAUGAGAUGAGUCACCGGCGAUCGUCGGAGGAGUCCUCGACGAUCGCCGGUGAGGAGUCCCCGACGAUCGUCGAAGGAGUCCCCGACGAUCGCCGGUGAGGAGUCCCUCACGAUCGUUGAAGGAGUUCCCGACGGUCGUUAGAGGAGUCUCGGACGAUCACUGGUGAAGAUUCCAGGGCGAUCGCCGGUGAAGAUUCCCCGACGAUCAUCGGUGCGGAAUCCCCGACGGUCGUCAGAGGAGCCCCCGCGGUUGUCAGAGGAGUCCCCGACGAUCGCCGGUGAAGAGUUCCUGACAAUCGCCGGUGAGGAGUCCCUGAUGAUCGCCGGUGAGGAGUCCCCAACGAUCACUGGAGGAGACCCCGACGGUCGUCCAAGGAGUUCCCGACGAUCGUCAGAGGAGUCCCAGACGAUCGCCGGUGAAGAGUUCCUGACGAUCGCCGAUGAGGAGUCCCCUAUGCUCAUCGGAGGAGUCCCCGAUGGUCGUCGGAGGAGUGUACUCUCUUGAAAGUAUAACCCCAAUAACUUCGACAUUAGGGGGCGUCAUGAGCCCCCCCGUUAAAUGACAAUACAUAAAUGUUUCCCUCUCCCCAAGUUAAUUAAAAUGUUUACCUUUUCUUAUUAUUCUUUAUUUUUUGCAUUGUUCUUAAUUUGCAGAUACUAUGGAUCCAAUACACGGCAGAGACGAAUAUCAGGAUGACAUGAUGCAUGGUGUCAUCCGUGAGGAUGAUUUUAUUGUUGGCAGUGUCACCAAUCAGUUUCUGAACGAGUCCGGCGAGGGAGAUGAGUCUGUCAACACAGGAGGUAGAAGCUCCGGUGUGAUAGACGCCCACGCCUCGGGCGAGCGAGGAUUCAGCGGCUCCGAUGAGGGAGAAGCCGACAAGGGAGAAGCCGAUGGCUCCGGCGUGGUGCAUAUAUAUAUUAAUAAAUUAAUCCUGUGCUGUCUAUAUACAUAUAUUAACGCUCUUUCUUCUUUUAGCCCUCCGGAGUGAGCAAAACUUAAGUACGGAUGAAACGAGGCCCAACCAAGAAGAUGGAUGACGGUGAGAGGUACAUGAUCGAAAGAGUCUCAAAAGGCGGGCAAUCGAUUGUUCCCACAGAUGUAAAGAAGAAAUUUGUGAAGGCAUGCAGAGUUAUUGUUAAGGACCACAUCCCUAUCACCACUCGAGAAUGUCUUAAGCCAAGGGUGGAAGGAGUCUCAUAUGUCGGCACAGUAGCCAAAGAAAACCUUUGGAGAAAGCUCAUGCUUCAUUUCACCCUGCCGGCGCCAGAGGUGGAUCCAGAUGAGGAGGAAAUGAAGAGGCGAAACGAGGCCCUAGAGAAAAAAUUCAAGGAGUGGGCUCUUAAGAAAAUGACCGAUCUAUUCAGGGGCUGGAAGAAAAGAUUGCACCAGGAUUUUAUCUUGCAAGAUAAGACUCCAGAUUUCGAUAACGGCUAUGAGAAGAUAAAAGACUAUUUGACCGAAUUUGUGGCGUACAAGAAAUCGGAGGACGCCUUGAAAAAGUCUGCAACAAAUAAGAGGAAUGCACGUAUGAAGAAGUACCACCAUAUUAUGGGGUCUGCUAGCUACGCCAGUAACAUGGCUAAGUGGGACGCACUUGAGGCACCAUUUCUGGCUAACAAUAUCACUCCAGAGCCCUUAACAUGGAUCGAACGGUUAAGAAACUGGUUUUACGGGCAUGGGGCAUGUUGGACGCCAAAGGGAAGGAAAUAUAUAACCAAACACACAAAGAUAAUCCCCUACUACCCAUCGAGAACAUUAGAAGUGUAGUAAAGGAUGUUGAAGAGGAACGGUUCGUUCUCGAUAGAGAGAACGAUGAGCUCUCACGCGCCCUUGGGAAUGAUGAACACAAAGGACGAGCACGAGGCUUACCAGGCUCCCCGCCAUGGAUGCUUGCGUUUUCUGAGGAAAUGAAGAAAUUUCCCAAUAGAAGCCAUCAGAGGAGAAUGGAAAAGGAGGCAGCUGAGAAAGCGGCUACUGCAGACCGGCCGCAUAAUGUAGAAGAAGGAGUAAAGCGGCUGCAACAGGAUCAAAUCAAUAGACUUAGCCAACAAGGUAGCGGCCUAUCUCAGCAUCUCAUGAUAGAAGCUGCAUCGAAUCGGAAAAGCAAUGUCGAUUCCACGCAGCUCCAGGAUGAUGGUGACGAUGAUGCACUGACGACGGCUCCUCCUCGUCGCUACCCAGUGGAUGAUAUCACAGAGAGCACACCUUGUGAGCUAAAGGUGAAAGUUGCUAACUUAAGGUUGACGGUAGCGGUCGGCAUGGUCGUACUAAUUGGACAUAAUCCAACUUGGCAUUGCUCUCCGGUUACAAAAGGGUACGUUGUCAUCACAGUGGAUGAAGUGAUGAAAGAUUAUGAGGAGCUAAAGCUGGACUACCGUGCAGGUGAAUAUAGGGAUUUGACUGAACUUGGAGAAGUCAAGAAACAGACCAUUGUAUGGCCAAAGGAGCACAUCUUGCUUCCAAAUUGGUCGCCAAGGCCACCGACCCCUCAGAGCAGCAAUCCUUCUUCGCCUCCACCUCACCAGUCUCUAGCACAACCGUCGUCUUGACCGCCUCACCAGUCUCGAGCGCAACCGUCGUCUUCGCCACCUCACCAGUCUCCAGUGCAGCCGUAUCCACCACUGCAUCAGCCGUCUUCACUGACCCGUCAGUCGUCUCCGUCCACUGAGGAUCAGAGCCAAAAGCGAAAACGUACCACCACUAAUAGUGGCGGUAGAAAGGGGUUCCGAUCACCGAAAUGUAAGUCGUCGCCCCUCCCAAAAGUACCUCAUAAGAAUAUGGAGAUGAGACCUUGGGACUAUAGUGAAGAGAAAAAUAAGAAGAGGGCAGACGCCCAGUAUCAAAAGUGGAAGGCUGACAUGGCUAACAAGAAGAAGUAGAAAGAGCCAGAGUUCCCGGUCACCCUAGAAGAUCACGCCGCAUGCGUGAAAAUGUUGAAUACUCUUGGACAACCCCCGCCAACAUUGCGAGAAGACCAUGAACGCGCUAUUCUCAAGUCGGCUGAGGUAAAAAAGCAGUGGUUGAACAGUAGUAGGUACAACGCGAAAUCAGUUGCCCAGCUCGGAUAACAGAAAAACCAAUCGUGCCCCCGCUCAAAGUGUAUUCGGAUACAGAGGUGUGCUCGAGUGGAGCUGCGGCCGAGCAGAGGUAUGAUGAAACAACUGAUAUCAAUCCGGAGUUUGUUGCACUGUACAGAGAAGCGGCCAAGGCUCAUGGCAUGACUAUUGUUCGGUACUUAAACAAUAUACAUGAUUUCACUGACGUAGCAUACCAGUACCGGCACGGGUCUCCUCUCGUCAAACCCGAGUUAGUCAAUGAGCUAUCAACAAAAAUGCAAAUAUUGCAUAACUGGUACAUGCGAGCAUCUGCUGAAUAGCAAAACUGGAUCUAUUGUGCAUAUAAAAACGAGCAUUACAGGCAUGGAGAAGGAGUGCUAAUGAUUGAAUUCAAUGAAUUAUUUCAGUUAUACCAACAAGAUGCCCUCGACAAAUCUAUCAUCAGUGCCUAUUGUUUGUAAGUAUUAUUAGUUUAUGUCAUUAAGUCUUACUCAGCUCGUUCAUUGCAUGUAUAAUCUUACUCAUCACUACAUUAAUUUUGCAGAAUGAAGAUUCUCGAAUGCAAAUGAGGACGAAUCUAUGACAUUGGGUUCAUUGACCCAUAUUUCAUUCAAGAAAAAAUUUCUCGAACUGAAUACCAACGAGAUAGAGAAUAAGUUGUUACAAGGGUUAAGGUUGUCCGCUACCAAAAGGGAAAUACUAUUUCCUUACAACUUCAAGUGAGUGUUACUGUCUUGUACACACAUUCUAUUUUCGCUUACUCGAUGUUAAUUGUAUAAUUGACUCGUUAUGUGUGCGUAGCUUCCACUUUAUUCUGUUAAUCAUUGAACCUCACAAUGGACUAGUAAAAGUCAUGGACCCAAAACGCAAACCCCUCGCUGAUUGGGCCAACAUGAAGGAAUGCCUCCAGAGGUAAUCUCAAUCAUUAUGGCACUAUAUCGGCAACUUUUCAUUCAUUUCCUGAUAGCAAGUAAUUAAUAUAGAACUCCUUUAUUUAUUUCCUUUUCUUGGUAGGGCUUGGAAACGGUUCACCGCCAAGUGUUGGGGUGUUUGGUAGCCAGAGCUUACAUUUAGACAAAUGGAUGUAAGUACUACUAGCUAGAUCUGCCAUCUCUUUAUUCUAGUUUCAAUACCAUUAUCAUGCUUGAUUAUGUUCUGAUUGAACUCUGUUCUCGUAAAGUGCUUGAGGCAGGAACAUGGGAACAAUUUAUGUGGAUACUAUGUUUGCGAGUUCAUUCGCCAGACGACCCAUGAGACGGGCAAAAACCGGGACUUCAGAAAAAUUGAAGUACGAUAAACAAUACUCACAACUUUAUUUUAUUACCAUCAAUUGUGUUCGGUUUCAUUGAUAUAUAUAUAUAUAUUGACCCCUUCUUUAAAUUAGAUCAAAUGGUUGCGGGACGGUCUUCUACCAGAGGAACGCAUACGAGCAAUUCAAGAGGAAAUUGUCGGAUUCUUUGAUGCAGAGGUCCUAGAUCUGAAGGAAGAAAACUAUUGCCCGCCGGUUGAAGUGAAAUGUUAAAGUGUAAAAGAGAUGCAUAUGUGCAGGUAACUCGUGUCUACAUUUUGUAAUAUGUUCGACAAAGCACGACAGAUGAGAUGGAGUAAUAUAUUCAUGACGAUGAUGUGCAAUAUAGUUGUUCCUUAAUUGCUGUGUAUGUACCAUCCAAUUUAGUGCAAAACACAAAUUAAAAACGUGCCCAAGACAAAUAAAUGGGAAAAUAGAAAAAAAAUAAGGGGCAGCAAAAUAGCCCCCAUCCAAUUUAGUGCAAAACCCUAAACCCUAAAAAGUGCUAAAAAAGGCAGCGAAGCAAUAGCCCCGAUUCGUAAUAAGAACCCAGACUAAUACUCCUCCCCCCUCGCUCCCAGCCCCGCCACGUGGAGGACCAUUAGCCCCGGUUCGGGGGCGAACCGGGGCUAGAAUUAGUCCCGCUUUUGUGGUACCGAUUCCUGAACCGGGGCUGAUGGCCCAAACGAACCGGGUCUCAAGCCUAUAUUUCUGCUAGUGUUUUAAGCGCAAGUAUAUUAUUGUUCAUACAAAAGUCGGGCAAGUAAAAUAUAACACCUUUAGUUCAUAAGGAUGGAAUGCGGGUGCGUGCGUUUACAUAGGUGAGUAUAUGUGCAUAAGUAUGUGNNNNNNGUGUGUCCAUCUUUACUGUAUUAAAAAAAGCGUUCAUUUUAUACCGAAAAGAAGCAACAUGAAUUUUUAUAGAGAAAAACACCCAAAAGGUAUCUUAUGUCUAAUUACUCCUAUAAAUGAUGAUGGAGUGCCCCGGAAUUGGCGCCCUCGCGCGCGCUCCACAUCGUCUUAUCCACUAGCGCCUCACGUCGGUGCCUGUCUCACGCCCUCCCUACCUUCCAAUCGGACCAUGUCACUCCUUAUAGAGCCGGCAUCCUCGGGGUCCAUGAAUCAUGAGUCACGACCGUGUCCAUGGCCUCCUUUCUGUAGUGUUUUUGUUGCCCCUGCGUGCGCAUUUCCCGCGGUUGGUCGUUGUGGGUGUAGCCAUGCCUUGCCCGAUGGUGUGGAGGUUGCUUCUCGGCUUGUGUGAGCCACUUUCAUGGUAUUCGGUUUUUCCGGGAGUGAUAUAUAGGUUUUACCCCUAAGUUUGACAUAUUUGAGACUAAUUACCCCGUUUAAAAUAAUUUCAUCCAUUGUACCCCAUUUAACAAAAAAUUUGCCACAAUUUACCCCUUUUGAAACUUAAAGCGUUCUGAGUGGUGUGUCAUAAUUAUUAGAUCCAACUCGAGUGCCACGUAUAGAGGUUUUUUAAGGUAUUUUUUCUGCAUACUAAACGGCUUCGCACGGUUUCUAUCUACCGACCAGACUAUACCGAUGGGAAGCAGACGCAUGUCCUCGAACAAUUUAUAAAGUUACACGUCGCUUGAGUCCAGUGCACCAUGAUCAUUCAAUCCCGCUGCAUAUUUCAUUGAGUCUGUUGCGCCAGAGUGGCCUCCAAUCAUGGUACACAUCGCUCGCCUCUAGUCACAUAGAGGAUCGUGCCCAAGUCUGGCCGAGUCCACUUCGCUCCUUCCUUCUGAGAGGGGAGGACGAACGUAUGCGAUGAGCGGUAGGCGACAUGUCAAGUUUUCACUGGGAUUGUUCGAGCUGCAAGCAGCAACCGAUAUGUCAAUCUCCUUCUCUCUUACGCUUGCUUGAAUUCUCUGUUUUUCACUUCAGUGGUUAGGCUUUCAGUUUUGCUCUUAGUCCAGGAUGCAUAUCACAUGGGUUCCGGACAAUUGUUUCUGGUUUGAAGAUCUCCGAUGAGAUGAAUAUUAUUAGUGGAAACAUUAUUGGAUUUUUUUAUUGAUAUAAUCCCGAAUCAGUUUCUGUUUUCUAUAUGUAAAAGGAACUUAAGUUUUCUAUACGUAAGAUGAGAGCAUUUGGAUAACCAUAUAUUCCAUGCUAAUAGCAUGCUGAAAGACACUAGUAAUAGGGAAAUCUGCGAACUUUGUGUCUGAGCGUCUUCUUGUUGUAUGGAUUUUAUCCGCUAAUUAGUGAUUUUGGUUUUCUUGCACAAAUCAUAUGGCAACCGAGAUGUGGAGCGUUAGGUCCACUUUUCAUGUCCGUGGAUACAAUAAUCCAGAGCCAGAGUUGAUUGAGACGGAUUUCAUUAGUUAUUUUGAUAUAAAGGAGAGGACAAAAGAGUUGGGUUUCAACCAUUGUGACAUCGUUUAUUAUGAGAAGAAAGGGGACAAUGGGAACUCCAUGGUUGAGUUAAUAAAUGACACUAGUGUUAUGAAGAUGCUUGAGGAGUUUGAUGCUUAUAAGGAGAUCGAUUUGCAUGUUUUCAGAACCUUGGAUCCAAAUACAUUUCCAUUUUCCAGGAAUGGUGUUGAUUCUUACAAGCCAAUAGUUGUGGUCUUGUUGAAGAGAAUAAUGAAGAGGACAAUAAAAAUGUGGAGAUGCUUUCAGAUGUAUAGUACAAUGAUCAAGUGGAAUACUAGAGGUAUUUGAAUGGGCAAGAUUAUGGAACUUAUUCAAGUGAUGAAGAUUUUGAUGUUGUUGCUGAAACAGAGAAGUUGAGAGCCAUGUAUGCUAAAAUGAAGGAGAAAGAAUUGCCAGAAAAGGGUGUGUAUUUAGAGGAUGAAUUUGAAGAUUUAUUUGAUGUCACAGAAGGCUUAGAUGGCAUUGAUCUUGAUGACAUUGCUCUUCCACAAACACAAAUGGAGAAAGACAUGAAUUUUGCAAAGAAAGAGGAAGCAAGACAUAAAAAAGGAGAAGACAACUAAGAAGAUGGCAUUGGCAAGGAGAAGGGACCAUAAGAAGAAAUUAGUUGACGGUGACUUUGAGCUUUUAGAUUCUCCAAACUCAGAUGGUGAAAAUGAUCCUUUAGGACAAGGUAUCGAUGAAAAUGAAGAUUCACGUUUGAUAGUUUUAUUACAAGGGAGAAAAAGAAGAAGGCCCAAGAUGUUGUUAGACCCAAGAAUGCAAUUUGAUGAUACUUACCUUAAUGAUGCUGAUAGUAUGCUAGAACAACUUGUCAAAGGGAUGUGUUUCAAAUCUUACAUUCUUAAGAAGUUGAUACUACUAGCAUUCUCUCAACAUGCAUAUCAUCCACGUGAGCGUUUUGCCGCAUAGGCUUUCACACACAGCUAUUUACACGAGCAAGUGUAAUCUUUGGCACCCUUCCACAUCCAUCAGAUAAAAAUGUUUAUUGCUAUACUCUUCAUGCAAGAGUUAAUCUCGCUGGCAUGCCUAAUAAACCACAUUCAAUACGUGCAUGCAAUGGAGCAUCAAAAUACCCGCGACCUUGAUCAUGAUAAAAUUACUCGCAAGUCAUGUGUCUCAUUAAUUAGCAUUUGGCAUUUGGAUGAGGUAAUCCUUUCUCGACUCCAUCCUUUUUGGCCAAUGUGGGGACAUGGGAGAUUGAUCCAUUUAAUGGCAAUGCUGAUUCCGGAGGUGUUAUCAUUACCCUUCGUCUUAGCAGCUUAGCUUAUUAAUCUGAACGAAUACAUCUCCAUCGAUCCUCAAAAAAUAUCCACCAAUUCUUCUCAUCUUCCGCAUCUCCACCUCUCUCUCCAAAAUAGGUUUCCACCGGCCAAGCCUUAUGGGUUAUCUCCAUCGAAGGUGGUCCGCUCACUACGCCAAAGUCUUAUGAUCAUUCUUUCUAACUCUACCUUUCUCGUGGCCCCGCGAUCCUUGUCAUCGAUGGUUAUGAUGGCCCAAGACGUUCUCCGAGACAUCGAUAAGAUGAGUUGUACGUGUACAUGCCACCGCCGAUGUCCUCCUCCAACAUCACUAGAGGUGGGUGCUUUCUUUCCUCUCAAUGUUCUCAGAUAUUAACAUAAUUUUUGAGUUGGUUCGAAGGUCUGAUUUUUGUGUGCUCGGAAAUUUAAUUGUAGGAACCUCUGUUCCAUCUCGAGUGAUCUCCUCCGUGGUAAUAAUCUAGUCAGUCUCUCUCCACCAAACUCCUUUCUAACUCAGUUAUUGCAUACACACAUAUGUCGGGAUAAGAUGAAUCAUUGAUGUUUCUCCAAUCCGAUUGUUUUUUAUUGGGGCGCUAGAUGGUGAAAUUUUCUUAUUCCUUUUGUGUUCUUUAGGGUUCUCGAGAGAACAAGUACAUGAAGUUAGAAUGUAUUGUUCUAAACUACAACUACAUCUCGCUAUCUUCCUCCCUUCACACAUAAUAAUUCAGUACAAAUUGUGUAAUUUUAUUCCUCUUCUUUGGUUGUUUUGUAGAAUCAUAACAUAUGGCAUAUUGGCAUAUCGGGGUUCAUUUUCAGGUUAUUUGUUCUCUAUGAGUAGUAUUUAAUUGUGAAUUUCAUGGGAUCUUUCUAUUACAUGAGUUAUAUAAUUGUGUGUUUAACAAUUUUGUUCUUCCCGUACUGCACGACUCUACCAUUGUCACAACAAUCAUCUACCUAUGUAAAUGAAUGAAAUAUAUGUGAACACACUUGCAUUCUCUCUCAAAUUUAAGGUAACUAUAUGUGGUGCCUAUAGACUUAAUAUACAUUUUUUUGUAGUAAUAAUAUCAGUAUGUGAUUAUUAUGGUACUAAUAACAAUCCUAACCUCAGAGGUUUCUUUCGAAUGAUUACUAAGUGGAUAAGGUAUAGGAUUAUGUAGUAAAAUGGAGUGCACAUGUGUCUACUCAGCAGCCAUGACAUUUUGUAUAGCUGGUUAUGUUUCGCUCAAUAACUGGAUCAAGGUGAAGAAUGAUUACUAUUCAGAUGCAUUAACACCGCAAGGCUCACAAAUUAGUAUGAAAUAUAUUCGUUUCUUGCUCUGAUGCACUUCUAAUAGACAAUCGAAUGAUAUGUUAAAAUAUUAUGAGAAAAAACUCAUUACAAUAUAUGUUACUUCUCUUUAUGUUGGUGAUGCAUUCUUCUAAUUAUGCAAAUAUGGAGAUAACUGACCAUAUAUUAAUAGGUCCAACUUUUUAUACCAUUCAAAGAUUCAAAUAGACGUAUAUUUAUAUUAUUGUUUCCAUCAAUUCCAUAAUUUCUCACUCUAUAUAACCUCCUAUAUACUACUACACAUUCCCGGAGCAACGCACGUGGUGUCAUCUAGUAUGUCAAAGAUUGUAGAGUAGCACUUAAGUCAUUCAUAUAUUGCAAGGACGAAGCUUUGGUUUUGUGAAGAAUAAGAUGGAAAAGGUGAAGGUGCAUUGCACACAGCCAAAUUGCGCCUUCUAUCUUUUUGCAUCAAAGAUAGCUAGUGAGUCCACUUCUAUGGUCAGAGAGGAUGUAGAGCCACACUCGUGUGGAUUAAUAGAGUGGACACUAGGCUGAAUUCCACAUGGAUAGCUUCUCAUUAUGAGGCUCAGUUCAGAGUUGAUCCCAAUUGGAGGCUUGAUGCUUUCAUGGAGGCUGUUAAGGGAGAUUUUAAUUUUGAAAUAAGAAAGAGGAUAGCAUAUAGGGCUAUAUCUUAUGCCCAAAAGAAGGUUCUUGGGGAUGAAUACAAGCAAUAUCUUAGAAUUAGAGACUACUUGCAUACAUUAUUGAACAAAAAUCAUGGAAGCAUCGCUAUAGGUACCACUCAGCCAAAUCUCAAGCCACAUGCCAAUGCUAAUCCUCUAUUCACCGGGCUGUUUGUGAGUUUUCAUUCACAAGACCCAGGAUUCUUAUUCGGCUAUAGGCCAUUCAUUGGAUUAGAUGGUUGUUUUGUCAAGCUAGCUAAUGGUGCACAAGUUUUAGCUGCCUCCACAAGAGAUGGCAACAACAACAUGUUUCCUUUAGUGUUUGGAGUGGUUAACAUAAAGGACAUUAACAAUUGGACAUGAUUUCUGCAAACACCAGAGUCAGCAAUUGGAUAGGGAGAGCAACAUGGUGGAUGGACAAUCAUGUGAGAUAGGGAGAAGGUAAUAACAUAUUUCUUAUCUUUUUCAUUUAUAUGUUACAUUUGAUUUGCAUGUUGUAACUGACAACUCUUCCAUUUAUUUGUGAGAGGGAUUACUUUCAGCAGUCACAAAGAUUUUUCCAUGUUGUGAACAUAGAUUUUGCAAAAGGCACGUUCUCACAAACUUCUCUAGAGCUAGAUUCAGAGGUGAAAUCUACAAGAAAUACUUUGAUAAGGUUGUUUAUGUAUUCACUUUGAAUGAGUACAAUAUUGACAUGGAGAACUUGAAAUCUUAUGACUUAGAAGCAUGGACGUGGGUUAGAGAAAUACCCAAGGAGCACAUUAGUAGGCAUGCUUUCAACACAAGAUCCAAGACUGAUCUUGUUGUGAACAACCUCAGUGAGGUGUUCAACAAAUACAUCCUUGACUAUAGAUAAAAGCCAAUUCGUACCAUGACGGGGCUCAUCAGAACUAGAGUUAUGAAAAUAUUUUGUUUGAAAAGAAAGGGAUGUGAGUCGGUGGCUAAGAGCAAAGCAAGGUAUUGCACAACUCAUCAAUUUAGUGUUGGGCUUUCGCAAGUAAACAACACUGAUAAGACCAAUGAAGUAAACAUGCUUAAUAAGACUUGUGGUUGUUUCAGAUUUCAAUUAUGUGGUUUUCCUUGUGAACAUGCGUGUGCAACUAUAUUUAAGGCUAAGGAAAGGCGUGAGAAUUAUGUUGAUGAUUUCUUCAAGUUGAAAAAUUACAAGAAAUCAUAUGGACACAUGAUAUACCCUGUUCCACAUGAAUCUGAGUGGAUUAAGACAUCAAGUCCAGACAUCGAGCCACUAGGUUACACUAUUCAACCAGGAAGGCCAAAGAAAAAUAGAAUAAAAGGGCAUGAGGAGAGUGGUUAUGCUUAUGCAAGAGAAAAAGAAGGAACAAUACAUUGUGGAAAUUGCAAGGAACUUGGCCACAAUGUCAAGGGCCGCAACAAGCCACUAAGAGCAUAUCUUGCUCUUAGGGUGAGAAAACAUGUGGUAAGCGCUCUCUUUUCCUUAAGAAAUUACAUUGCCGGUACUUGAUUCAAGUAUGGUACCAAAUAACCGCAUUUUUACUCUCUACAAUGCAAGACAUUGACAACAAGAACACAUCGGAGAAAUGCCAGUCCACCAGAUACACCUAAUACAGAACCUAAGCUACUCUAAGAGCGGGUGCAACAACAACUAGUAGGGGGAGAGGAAAAGUAGCUACAAAGAAGCCUAGAAGUUCAGCAUCGGGAGCACCUAUGACUGCUAGCACUGCUGCUCCAACAGAAUCUAGUAAGGGGAGAGAAAUAGGAGCAUCCAAAGUACCUAAAGGUACUCCUAAAACAUCAACUGGUAAGGGGAGAGGAAGAGGAGCACCUAAAGUAUCUGCAGCUAAAUUCCAGGUAAAAGAAUCACUUCUAGAAUAAAUGUAGGUGGCAAUAUUUUAUUGUUGUUUACAUCAUCUCAUAAUAUUCAGGUCCAAGAAUCACAUGCAUCAUUAUCAAGUGAUGCAGCAAUUGUGAGAGGAAGAGGGCCUGCUAGUAGUGGAACGGGGUUGCAUUUCAACCUAAUUAUGGACAUAAUAGAUCUUAUGGAAGAAGUUCAAGUGGGAGAAUGCACUCCUAGUUCACCAUUGGUGCUAGUGCAACUGCUACAGAUGGUGGUGCUAGAGAGGAGUAGCAAUUACCUCAUUUGAUAGCCUAUAUAGUUAAAAACUCAUGUCUCAUGUUUUUAUUUUGAACCCCUAUUAUGUUUUUAUUUUAAUAUCUCUAUCAUGUUGAACUCAUGCCUCAUGGAGAACUCAUAUGCAGAGUUUGAUUUGAUGAUGUUUACCUUCUUUGUGUAAUGGAUUAGGAAAAUGCAAUGUGGACAAAAGGCAUGUGUUCUGUCAAAAAUAUGGUAGCUUAUAUCAGACUUAUGCACAUCGUUAUGUGAUGACCCACAAGUAUAGGGGAUCAAUCGUAGUCCUUUCGAUAAGUAAGAGUGUCGAACCCAACGAGGAGCAGAAGGAUCUGACAAGUGGUUUUCAGCAAGCUAAAAUCUGCAGGCACUGAAAUUGUCGGUAACAAGUGAUUGUGUGGUGAGAUGAUUCGUAGCAAGCAACAAGUAGAAAAAGUAGAAAUGGUGUAGCAAAGUGGCCCAAUCCCUUUUGUAGCACAGGACUAGCCUGAAAAAAGUCUUAUAGGAGAAAAAACGCUCCUGAGGACACACGGGAAUUUCUGUCACGCUAGUUUCAUCAUGUUCAUAUGAUUCGCGUUUGUUACUUUGAUAGUUUGAUAUGUGGGUGGACCGGCGCUUGGGUACUUACCUUACUUGGACAAGCAUCCACUUAUGAUUAACCCCUCUCGCAAGCAGCCGCAACUACGAAAGAAGAAUUAAGACAAAGUCUAACCAUAGCAUUAAACUAGUGGAUCCAAAUCAGCCCCUUACGAAGCAACGCAUAAACUAGGGUUUAAGCUUCUGUCACUCUAGCAACCCAUCAUCUACUUACUACUUCCCAAUUCCUUCCUCUAGGCCCAAAUAAUGGUGAAGUGCUAUGUAGUCGACGUUCACAUAACACCACUAGAGGAAAAACAACAUACAACAUAUCAAAUUACCGAACGAAUACCAAAUUCACAUGACUACUAUUAGCAUGACUUAUCCCAUGUCCUCAGGAGCAAAAGUAACUACUCACAAAGCAUAAUCAUAUUCAUGACCAGAGAGGUAAUGAAUAGCAUCAAGGAUCUGAACAUAAACUCUUCCACCAAAUAAUCCAACUAGCAUCAACUACAAAGAGUAAUCAACACUACUAGCAACCUUACAAGUACCAAUCGGAGUCGCGAGACGGAGAUUGGUUACAAGUGAUGAACUAGGGUUUGGAGAUGAGAUGGUGCUGAUGAAGAUGUUGAUGGUGACGAGUCGCCUCCGAUGAGAGGAGUGUUGGUGAUGACGAUGGCGACGAUUUCCCCCUACGGGAGGGAAGUUUCCCCGGCAGGAUCGUCCUGCCGGAGCUCUAGAUUGGUUCUGCUCAAGUUCUGCCUCGUGGAAGCGGCGAAACCACGAAAAAGCUACUCCUUGAUUUUUUCCUGGAAAAAACCCUCCAUAUAGAAAAAGAGGGGAGCAAGUGGGCCAGUGGGCUGCCAACAAGCCCUCAUGGCGCGACCUGGGGGGGUGGCCACACCGUGCAGGCUUGUGGGCACCCCCUGGUGCCCCUCUUGCACUUCUUCGGCCCAGUAUUUUUGAUAAAUCGGGAAAAAAAAUCCUCGUUGAUUUUUACGGCAUUUGGAGUUGCGUAGGAUAGGUAUCUCAACUUUGCUCCACUUUCAGGCCAGAAUUCGAGUUGCCGGCAUUCCCCCUCCUCAUGUAUACCUUGCAAAAUAAGAGAGAAAAGGCAUAAGAAUAGUACCGUGAAGUGAAAUAACAACCAAUGAAGCGAUAGAUAUCAACAUGAAAACAUGAUGCAAAAUGGACGUAUCAACUCCCCAAGCUUAGACCUCGCUUGUCCUCAAGCGAAAGCCUAGCUCAAUAAAUAUGUCCACAUGUUUAGGGAGAGAGGUGUCGACAAAACAAGAUACGAACAUGCAUGCAUCAUGAUCAUGAUCAGAACAGCAAUACCAACAUAUAAUCUCUCAUGCUAAAGUGACAAUUCCUUCACAAAGUAAAGCAUGGAUCAAGAACCUUACCGAGAAGUAACAACCGAUAGCCUUUAGUCAUUGAAGCAAUUGCAAUUUAUGACAACAUCAGAAAGAGUCAAAUAAGAGCUUGUAAAGAAAACCCACAUACUCAAACAUUCUUUCGUCCUCUACAAUUGCUACAACUCACGUGGUACUCAUGAGAUCAAAGUUUCAGGUGGACACAUAGAAAGAUAGGGGCUUAUAGUUUUGCCUCCCAACUGCUUACCUCAAGGGUAAUGUCAACAAUAAUAAUUCAUGAAUACUUACCCCCCAAGUUGACAUAUGAAUAUAGAUCUUUCCCAAGCAUAUGACGGUAGCCAAGAUAAAGGCGGAAUAAGGAAUUGGUGAAGAUCACCAUGACUCUUUCAAGGGAAAAAAGUAAAGGUACAAGAUAGGCCCUUCGUAGAGGGAAGCAGAGGUUGUCAUGCGCUUUUGAGGUUUGGAUAGGUGCCCUGUUAGUGGGUAGGAACGUCACUUUAUAUUGCCCCCUGUGAUAAAGAACUUUAUUAUGCAGUCUGUCGCUUUUAUGUCUUCCUCAUCACAGGUUCGUAUAAAGCUUAUUUUCCACACACUAAUAGAUCAUACAUAUUAGAGAGCAAUUUUUAUUGCUUGCACCGAUGACAACUUACUUGAGGGAUAUUAUUCAAUCCAUAGGCAGGUAUGGUGGACUCUCAUGGCAAAAUGGGUUGAAGGUUUAUGGAUGCACAAGUAGCAUCUCUACUUAGUGCGGGAGGUUUGGCUAAUGUGAGGUGGAAGCAAUCGUCACAUGCAAAGGGAUCUCUAAUCAUAUAACAUUGUUCGGAACCAAGCAAACACAAUUCAUUAUGUUGUCUUCCUUGUCCAACAUCUACUUCUAGGCAUGCAAUAGUUUAGUGAGUGUUCACAAUCAUAGAUGGUGUCAGAGAUGAUAUAUUUAUAUGUGAACCUCUCCUUCUUUAUCACUUCCUAUUAAUUGCAACAAUGACCAAGGUCUACGUUUGCCUACCCUCAACAAGUUUCAAUCCUCAUUCUUUUUAUAUGUGAAGCCAUCACUUCCCAUAAGAUCAUUACAUGAUCUUUCAUGCUUUUGUUCUAUUCUCACUCUUUUGAUCAUGGCAAGAGGCAAAGCCCUUCAACUAAGAUACUCUUUAUUAUAUGGCUCACGAGCAAGAAUACAUUGGAGGUGACACAAAGCAAAACUCAAGACUAAAACACUAAGACUUUUAAACUACUAGAGAAAGAGAAAACUGAAAAGGAAAACUAAAACAAAAGGUAAAGGCAAAAGAUGUGAUGGUGAUACGAUACCGGGGCAACUCCCCCAAGCUUGGCACAAGCCAAGGGGAUUGCCCAUACCAAUGCUCAGUUGCCUUCCUUUGGUGGUGAUGGUGGAGUUGUUGCAACUUGAGUUUGAUCCUCCGUCUUCCAAGGCAUAGGUGCUCCAUCAUGGAAAGAUGAAUGAGUCUCCAGAAUCCUCAAAUUUGCAGCCAACCAUAUAGAUUUAAAUCUAUACUCAUACUCAGAGUUUUGGUUCUGUAGGUCAUAGAUCUGGGCCUGGAGUUGAUCAAUCCUGUCAUAGAGCCUGGAGAGGUGCUUUCUAAUGUCAUUGGCGUCAAUCCUGUGCUUGUUGGUGAACUCCGUGAUCAUCAUGUGGUUGGUGUUGAGUCCACGCUCCACCAUCCCUUCGCACUUGAAGACUUGUUGUUCCAUUGCUUCGAGCCUCGUCUCCAUGCUUCCGCUCUUCUUAGGCCCCUCAACAUCACGGAUGUGCAACAUCCCCUCUCGCAUCUCGAUAGAUUGAGGGUGUUGCAACACUCCCGUGAGGUAGGGAUUGAUGACCUUCUCGAAGAUCUUGUCCUUCGGAGCUUUUGGAGAAGUCAUAGCGAUCUAGAUCUGCAACAGAAACAGGCUCGACACAAAAAACAGAGGAAAUCUGCGUGAUGCAUGGGUCAGAGCAAAUGGAAGUAUAUAUAAUGAUUUUUUUCAGACCAGAAGGAGUACCUUGCACGAAAACGGAGUCCGCGAGGCCCAUGAGGUGGCCACAAGCCCUCACGACACGGCCAGGGGGUGGGCCCGCGCCGUGCAGGCUUGUAGCCUCCUCGCGCACUUUCCGCACUACUUCCAAUUUUUGUAUUUUUUCAAAUAUUCCAAAAUGGAGAAAAUUUCCUACUGGAAAAUUUUUGGACUGUGUUUUCUUACCGAAUCACAUACCUCUUCGUUUUCGGAGUCUGAAACAGGUUGAUAAAUAUCUCUUAGGUAUUCUUUCGGGGUUAUGGUAUUGAUGAUAUUGCUUUAAACAUUUAUGGGAGUACCUGAGAUAUAAUGCUUGAUUCUCUGCCCAUUUACCACUCUCGGACAAUUACCUUCCAUGUUGUUGAUCUUGAUAGCACUGAAACGAUAUACUUCCUCAACAACAUAGGGACCUUCCCAUUUAGAGAGAAGCUUGCCUGCAAAGAAUCUUAAACGAGAGUUAUAUAGCAAGACAUAAUCACCUACAUUGAACUCAUGUUUUUGUAUCCUCUUAUCAUGCCACCUCUUAACCUUCUCUUUGAACAACUUUGCAUUCUCAUAUGCCUGAGUUCUCCACUCAUCAAGCAAGCUAAUAUCAAAUAACCUCUUCUCACCGGCAAGUUUGAAAUCAAAGUUGAACUCUUUGAUUGCCCAAUAAGGUUUAUGCUCUAGCUCAAGAGGUAAAUGACAUGCUUUACCGUACACCAUUCUUUAUGGAGACAUGCCCAUGGGAUUCUUAUAGGCAGUUCUAUAAGCCCACAGUGCAUCAUCGAGCUUCUUAGACCAAUUCUUUCUAGACCUGUUGACGGUCUUUUGUAGAAUUAGUUUAAUCUCUCUAUUUCUUAGCUCUACUUGACCACUGGACUGAGGGUGAUAGGGAGACGCAAUUCUAUGGUUGACAUCAUACUUAGUAAGCGUUUUACGGAAAGCACCAUGAAUGAAGUGUGAACCACCGUCGGUCAUUAGAUAUCUAGGGACUGCAAAUCUAGGGAAGAUAACUUCUUUCAGCAUCUUGAUAGAGGUGUUGUGAUCAACACUACUAGUGGGGAUAGCUUCUACCCACUUAGUGACAUAAUCACAACAACUAGGAUGUGAGUAUACCCGUUGGAUUUUGGAAAAGGUCCCAUAUAAUCAAAGCCCCAAACAUCAAAUGGUUCAAUGACAAGUGAAUAGUUCAUAGGCAUUUCCUGAGUUUGCUAAUAUUACCUAUUCUUUGACAUUCGUCACAAGACAAGACAAACUUACGGGCAUCCUUGAAGAGAGUGGGCCAACAGAAACCUGAUUGCAAUAGCUUGUGUGCAGUUCUAUCUCCCGCAUGGUGUCCUCCGUAGGCCUCGGAGUGAAACUUCUGCAGGAUCUGUCCCUGUUCUUGUUCAGGUACACAACGUCUAAUAACACCAUCUAUUCCUUCCUUAUAAAGGUGAGGAUCAUCCCAAAAGUAGUGUCUCAAGUCAAAGAAGAAUUUCUUAUUUUGCCGGUAUGUGAAACUAGGUGGUAUGUAUUUGGCAACGAUGUAGUUUGCAUAAUCAGCAUAGCAUGAUGCACUACGUGAAGCAUUGAUGACAUUCAAUUGCUCAUCGGGAAAGCUAUCAUCAAUAGGUUGUGGGUCAUCAAGGACGUUCUCCAACCUAGACAAGUUAUCUGCUACUGGGUUAUCAGCACCCUUUCUGUCAACAACGUGCAAAUCAAAUUCUUGUAGCAAGAGAACCCAUCUAAUAACUCUAGGUUUAGCGUCUUUCUUGUCCAUGAGGUACUUAAUAGCAGCAUGAUGAGUGUGAAUAGUGACUUUGGAAUCAACUAUGUAAGAUCUGAAAUUUUCACAUGCAAACACGACUGCUAAAAAUUCCUUUUCCGUAGUGGCAUAGUUUCUCUGGGCACUGUCUAGAGUUUUACUAGGGUAGUGAAUAACAUUCAACUUCUUAUCAAGUCUUUGCCCUAGAACAACACCAACAUCAUAGUCACUAGCAUCACACAUGAUCUCAAAAGGAAAGUUCCAAUCAGGUGGUUGAACAAUAGGUGCAGUUAUCAAAGCCCUCUUAAGUAUUUCGAAGGCUUCCUCACAAUCAUCGUCAAAGACAAAAGGAAUAUCCUUUUGCAAGAGAUUGGUAAGAGGCCUAGAAAUCUCAGAGAAGUCUUUAAUGAAUCUUCUAUAGAAACCAGCAUGACCAAGGAAACUUCUUAUACCUUUGAUAUCUAUGGGGUAUGGCAUUUUCUCGAUUGCAUCAACCUUAGCCUUAUCGACUUCAAUACCUCUUUCAAAAAUUUAUGUUCUAAGACGAUGCCUUCAUUAACCAUAAAGUGGCACUUCUCCCAAUUCAACAUAAGAUUGGUGUCUGUACAUCUCUGUAAGACUCGAUCAAGGUUGCUGAGGCAAUCAUCAAAGGAAGACCCGUAAACGGAGAAGUCAUCCAUGAAAACCUUAACAAUCUUUUCACAAAAGUCAGAGAAUAUAGCCAUCAUACAUCUUUGAAAGGUGGCAGGUGCAUUACAUAAGCUAAAAGGCAUACAUCUAUAAACAAAGGUACCGAAAGGGCAGGUGAAAGUGGUUUCUCCUGAUCAUAUUGUGCAACUAGUAUUUGGGAGAAACCAGAAUAACCGUCUAGAAAGGAGAAGUGUGUGUGUUUAGACAGCCUUUCUAGAAUUUGGUCGAUAAAAGGCAGAGGGUAAUGAUAUUUCCUAGUGGCCUUAUUCAACUUCAUAAAAUCAAUCACCAUCCUAUAGCGAGUAAUAAUCCUCUGUGGGAUCAAUUCAUCCUUAUCAUUAGGGACAACGGUAAUGCCUCCCUUCUUAGGAACGCAAUGCACCGGACUUACCCAAUCGCUAUGAGCAAUAGGAUAGAUAAUACCCGCUUCUAGGAGCUUUAGUAUUUAUUUUCUUACUACUUCUUUCAUCUUAGGAUUUAAUCUCCUUUGAUGAUCAACAACUGGUUUGAAAUCAGGAUCAGUUUUGAUCUUGUGCUGGCAUAGAGUGGGACUAAUGCCCUUAAGAUCAUCAAGAGUAUAUCCAAUAGCAGCACGACGCUUCCUCAGAGUUUUUAGUAACUUAUUUUCUUCAUGCUCCGAGAGGCUAGCACUAAUUAUAACAGGAUAUAUCUCUUUUUCAUCAAGAUAGGCGUACUUAAGAGUAUGCGGCAACUGUUUAAGCUCGAACACAGGAUCACCCUUUGGUGGGGGUGGAUCCCCAAGCAGUUCAACAUGCAAGUUAUUCUUAACGAUAGGAUAUUGUUCCAAGACAACUCUAUCUAUUUCAGCCCUUUCAUCCAUAUGCAUAUCAUUUUCAUGCUCAAGCAAGUAUUGCUCUAAGGGAUCAGUAGGAGGCACAUCAAUAGAAGCUAAGGCAAUAGUUUCAUCCUUACUAGGCAACUCCUUUUCAUGAGGUUGUCUACCAAACUUAGAGAAACUGAACUCAUGUGACACACCUUCAAAGCCAACAGUGACAGUUUGCUUCUCACAAUCAAUAUGAGCAUUGGCAGUAUUGAGAAAAGGUCUGCCAAAUAUGAUGGGACAAAAGCUAUCUUGUGCGGUAGCAAGAACGAGGAAAUCAGCAGGAUACUUCGUUUUACCACACAAGACUUCAACAUCCCUAACAAUUCCGACAGGGCAGAUAGUAUCUCUAUUGGCAAGCUGAAUAGUGACAUCUAUAGGUUCUAUCUCUACAGGUGCAAUCUCAUCUUUGAUUUCAUCGUAUAAGGAUUGAGGUAUUGCACUAACACUAGCACCCACGUCACAUAAGCCAUGAUAACAAUGAUCUCCUAUCUGAACAGAAACCACAUGCAUACCAACAACAGGCCUAUGUUUGUCUCUAGCGUGAGGUUUAGCAAUUCUAGCAGCAUCUUCACAGAAGUGAAUAUUAUGUCCCUCAACAUCGUCGGACAGAAGAUCUUUGAUGAUAGCAAUGCUAGGUUCAACUCUAAUCUGCUCUGGGGGUGUAGGUGUUCUAAUGUAGCCUCUACAUAUCACAGUUGAAGCUUUAGAAUGAUCCUUUAUCCUAAUAGGGAAAGGUGGUUUCUGAAUGUAGGCACUGGGAACAAUAGGAUCGUUAUAGGGAAUGAAUUUCUCUUCAACAGGAGUGGGUUUAACUACAUUGACUUCUAAAGGAGGAUGAUAUUUAAACCACUUCUCUCUAGGGAGAUCAACAUGAGCAGCAAAGGAUUCACACAAUGAAGCUACUAUCUUAGAGUCAAGUCCAUACUUAGUGCUAAAGUCACAAAAAGUAUUUGUCUCAACAAAGGAUUUAACGCAAUCAAACAUGAAAUUCAUACCUGACUCCUUACCUUCUUCAAGCUCCCAAUCUUGAGAGUUGCGUUUGAUUCUCUCCAAUAAAUUCCAUUUGAAGUCAAUAUCUCUCUUCAUAAAAGAACCGGUACAAGAAGUGUUAAGCAUGGUGCGAUCAUCAUGAGAAAGCCGAGCAUAGAAAUUCUGAAUGAUAAUUUCUCUCGAGAGCUCAUGAUUGGGGCAUGAAUAUAGCAUUGAUUUAAGCCUCCCCCAAGCUUGAGCGAUGCUUUCUCGAUUGUAGUCUCAUGAUCCAGUAUCAUCACAUAGCCUAUACCAUGUCAACGCCUUAUCCUUCAAAGAUAAAGGAAAGACCUUCUUCUUGACCUCAUCCUUGGGCACACCUGCAAGCUUAAAUAAACCACUAACCUCAUCUACAUAGAUUAGAUGCAAGUCCAGAUGUGAUGUUCCAUCUCCUGUAAAAGGAUUAGCUAGCAGUUUCUCAAGCAUAUCCGAAGGAAAUUGAAAGCAAAUAUUUUCAGUAGGUGCAGCAGGUUGAGGAGCAACUCUUUGUGCUUCUGUUUGAGGUGAAGAUACCCCGAACAAGCCCCUCAAAGGAUUAGUAUCCAUAGUGACAAGUGACAACAAAUUUCAGCACACUAUAUGAAUGUUUCCUUACCAAGUUCCACUUACCAAAGGCGCUUCACUCCCCGGCAACGGCGCCAGAAAAGAGUCUUGAUGACCCACAAGUAUAGGGGAUCAAUCGUAGUCCUUUCGAUAAGUAAGAGUGUCGAACCCAAUGAGGAGCAGAAGGAUCUGACAAGUGGUUUUCAGCAAGGUAAAAUCUGCAGGCACUGAAAUUGUCGGUAACAAGUGAUUGUGUGGUGAGAUGAUUCGUAGCAAGCAACAAGUAGCAAAAGUAGCAACGGUGCAACAAUGUGGCCCAAUCCCCUUUUUAGCAAGGGACAAGCCUGGACAAAGUUUUAUAGGAGGAAAAACGCUCCCGAGGACACACGGAAAUUUCUGUCAUGCUAGUUUCAUCAUGUUCAUAUGAUUCGCGUUCGUUACUUUGAUAGUUUCAUAUGUGGGUGGACCGGUGCUUGGGUACUGCCUUACUUGGACAAGCAUCUCACUGAUGAUUAACCCUCUCGUAAGCAUCCGCAACUACAAAAUAAGAAUUAAGACAAAGUCUAACCAUAGCAUUAAACUAGUGGAUCCAAAUCAGCCCCUUACAAAGCAACGCAUAAACUAGGGUUUAAGCUUCUGUCACUCUAGCAACCCAUCAUCUAAUUACUACUUCCCAAUGCCUUCCUCUAGGCCCAAAUAAUGGUGAAUUGUUAUGUAGUCGACGUUCACAUAACACCACUAGAGGAAAAACAACAUACAACAUAUCAAAUUACCGAAUGAAUACCAAAUUCACAUGACUACUAUUAGCAUGACUUAUCCCAUGUCCUCGGGAACAAAAGUAACUACUCACAAAGCAUAAUAAUAUUCAUGACCAGAGAGGUAAUGAAUAUCAUCAAGGAUCUGAACAUAAACUCUUCCACCAAAUAAUCCAACUAGCAUCAAUUACAAAGAGUAAUCAACACUACUAGCAACCUUACAAGUACCAAUCGGAGUCGCGAGACGGAGAUUGGUUACAAGUGACAAACUAGGGUUUGGAGAUGAGAUGGUGCUGAUGAAGAUGUUGAUGGUGACGAGUCCCCUCCCAUGAGAGGAGUGUUGGUGAUUACGACGACGACGAUUUCCCCCUCCGGGAGGGAAGUUUCCCCGGCAGGAUCGUCCUGCCGGAGCUCUAGAUUGGUUCUGCUCAAGUUCCUCCUCGUGGCAGCGACGAAACCACGAAAAAGUUCCUCCUUGAUUUUUUUCCUUGACGAAACCCUCCAUAUAGCAAAAGAGAGGAGCAAGUGGGCUAGUGGGCUGCCCACAAGCCCUCAUGGCGUGGCCUGGGGGCAUGGCCGCGCCGUGCAGGCUUGUGGGCACCCCCUGUUGCCCCUCCGGCACUUGUUCGGCCCAGUAUUUUUGAUAAAUCGGGAAAAAAAUCCUCAUUGAUUUUUACGUUAUUUGGAGUUGCGCAGAAUAGGUAUCUCAACUUUGCUCCACUUUCAGGCCAGAAUUCCAGUUGCCGUCAUUCUCCCUCUUCAUGUAAACCUUGCAAAAUAAGAGAGAAAAGACAUAAGAAUAGUACCGUGAAGUGAAAUAGUAGCCAAAGAAGCGAUAAAUAUCAACAUGAAAACAUGAUGCAAAACUGAUUCAUAUACAUUAUUGUCAGUUUCACAUGCUAUCAAAAUUGUCGUUCCAAAGUACAAAAAUAAUCCCGCAGCUCUUACAUACAUGGUUUGAUGAAGAGAAAUAGACAAGCAAAAAUAAUAGUUUGAAUUUCUUUCAUCACAUUGAUAUUUGUCCAAAUUCCUACAUACAUAUCGGUAGUUUAAUACUACCACAAAAAUCACACUUCAACGUCACUAGGUCAAUACAACAUCACUAGUUCACUACUUUACAUAUAUAACCACACUCCACCAUCACCAACAGACUCAAAUACACGUAAAGUGGAUGUAGCUACAUUCAGUCACUCAAUUGUUGUCCAAGUACGUCACAACAACAACAACAGCUGCAAACAGAAGCACGACAAAUGAAAUGCCAAGCUCUUUUUUCAUCUGCACCAAGCUGAGCAACUUCACGGCACACAACUCAUGCACUGUUAGCAGCUCAUCAUUCUUCAUGAAAAUGGCUUCUAGGUGAUACAUCAAACCAGCUACCACAUAAUCACUAGAGGAGUUAAUUGCAUCCCUAUUCACACAUACAAUAGGCCAACAAUGUUUGUACAUGGACUUGCAAGGAGAAACAAUUCAGAGGAAGAAAUAAGCUUGCUGACCGUGAUGGUCGAGGGGGAGGGGGGAGCUCGUCGGGGGGGGGGGACUACGUGCUCGAGGCACGGUAUCCGCAUGCCACUGUCGCGCUCUUUCAACACCCACCGCCACAGUUGAUGUCAUUCACCACCCGCAUUUGGCGAUGAUGUCAUUUAACACCCUCAUAUGCCGUUGAUGUCAUUCAGCACCCAUAGUUGCCGUCGAUUCCCUUCAGCACCCGCCGUUGCUGUCGUUAUCGCCGCCGCCGCCUCCACCUCUCUAAGCUAAGCCCUAACCCUAGGCGUGAGCGAGAGAGGUGCAUGCAGUAAGAAGUUGGGAAAACGGUGCGUGUGCUAGAGGCGAACAUGACACGGCUCGGGUCAAUCGUAGAUCACCAGGACCAGGUCGUUUGGUCGGGCACAAUGGUGUGGACUGGUUUAACAUGGUGUCAUCGUUUUGUCAUGACACAUGACAUGGGGUGGCUUAUCUCGAGUGGUUGAGGCCAAUGUUCGCCAGCGUACUCCGGGAAUGGGAUUGGGAACUAUUGGGGAACGUUGCAUGGAAAACAAAUUUUUUUACUACGCACACGAAGACCUAUCAUGGUGAUGAUCAUCUACGAGAGGGAGAUCAGAUCCACAUACCCUUGUAGAUCGCUAAGGGGGAAGCGGUAAGAAACACGGUUGAUGUAGUGUAACGUCUUCACGAUCCAAAUAGCCGUCGUCCCACGAUCCUUCCUGAUCUAGCAUCGAACGGACGACACUAUCUCCGCGUUCAGCACACCUACAACUCGAUGACAAUCUCCACCUUCUUGAUCCAGCAAGAGAGACGAAGAGGUAGAUGAAUUCUCCAGCAGCACGACGCCGUGGAGGUGAUGAUGGUGGAGCUACUCUGGCAAGGCUUCGCCAUGCCGUACCGAACUAGCUACAGGGUGUCACGAAAUAGUGGAUGGAGAGAGGGCUGCACAAAGGCUUGAGGUGCAAAAACGCUCUCAAACCUCCACUAUAUAUAGGAGGAACCAAGGGGAGGGUGGCUUGUCUCCUACUCCAAGGAGGAGGAGUCGGCCCAGCCAAGAGGGAGGAGUCCUCCUCCAAUUCGGUUUGGUGGAGGACUCCUUCCCAUCUUGUNNNNNNNNNNNNNNNNNNNNNNNNNNNNUUCUUUAUUUUUGCCUUGUCAAAAAUAGGCUUAUUGGGCUGGCCUCACAAGCCCACUAAGGGCUGGUGCACCACCAUGGGCCUAUUAGGUCCUCUCCCGGGUGGGUGGCCCUUCCCGGUAAAACCCCGUAACCCAUUCGUCACUCCCGGUACUUUACCCGUAAUGCCCGAAAUCUUUCUGGAAGCCAAAUGCAACAAUCCUAUAUAUGAAUCAUCGUUUCCGGACCAUUCCGGAGACACUCUGACGUCCGAGAUCUCAUUUGGAACUCCGAACAACAUUCGGUUACCAACAUCAAUAAUUCAACUGUACCGAAAACGUCACCGAACCUUAACUGUGCAGACCCUACGGUUCGAGAACUAUGUAGAAUUGACCGAGACACUCUCCGGUCAAUAUAUAAUAGCGGGACCUUGACGUCCAUAUUGGACCCUACAUAUUCUAUGAAGAUCUUAUCGGUUGAACCUCUAUGUCAAGGAUUCACACAAUCCCGUAUAUCAUUCCCUUUUUCCUUCGGUAUGUUACUUGCCCGAGAUUCGAUCGUCGGUAUCGACAUACCUAUUUAAAUCUCGUUACCAGCAGGUCUCUUUACUCGUUCCGUAAUACAAGAUCCCGUGGCUAACUCAUGAGUCACAUUCCUUGCAAGGCUUGUUUAUGAUGUUGAAUUACCGAUGGGCCCCGAGAUACCUCUCCGUCACACACAGUGACAAAUCCCAGUCUUGAUCCAUGCUAACUCAACGGACACCUUUGGAGAUACAUGUAGAUCACCUUUAUAGUCACCCAACAAUGUUGCAACGUUUGAUACACACAAGGCAUUCCUCUGGUGUCAGUGAGUUACAUGAUCUCAUGGUCAUAUGAAUGUAUACUUGACAUGCUGAAAACUAUAGCAACAAAAUGACACAAUCAUAUGCUACAUUUAUAGUUUGGUUCUUGUCCAUCACAUCAUUCUCGUAAUGAUGUGAUCCCGUCAUCAAGUGACAACACUUGUCUAUGGCUAGGAAACCUUAACCAUCCUUGAUCAACAAGCUAGUCAAGUAGAGGCUCACUAGGGACAUUGUUUGUCUAUAUAUCCACACAUGCAUUUAUGUUUCCAUUCAAUACAAUUAUAGCAUGGAUAAUAAACAAUUAUCUUGAAACAAGAAAUAUAAUAAUAACUAUUUUAUAUUGCCUCUAGGGCUUAUUUCCAACAGUCUCCCACUUGCACUAGAAUCAAUAAUCUAGCUUCAUAUCUCUAUGUGAUUUACAAUGUAAUGAAUCUAACACCCAUACAGUUCUAGUGUUGAUCAUGCUUUUCUCAUGGAAGAGGCUUAGUCAGCGGAUCUGCAACAUUCAGAUUCGUGUGCACUUUGCAAAUAUUUAUGUCCUCCUCCUUGAUGUAAUCACGGAUGGCAUUGAAGCAUCGCUUUAUGUGUGUGGUCCUCUUGUGAAACCUUGGUUCCUUGGCUAGAGCAAUGGCACCAGUGUUGUCACACAACAGAUUUAUUGGGUCCAGUGCACUUGGUACUACUCCAAGAUUUGACAUGAACUGCUUCAUCCACACACCCUCUUUAGCCGUCUCUGAGGCAGCCAUGUACUCCACUUCACAUGUAGAAUCAGCUAUGACACUUUGCUUGGAAGUGCACCAGCUUACCGCACCCCCGUUAAGAAUAAAUGUGUAUCCGGUUUGAGACUUAGAGUCAUCCAGAUCAGUGUCGAAGCAUUUAUCAACAUAACCCUUUACGACGAGCUCUUCGUCGCCUCCAUAAACGAGAAACAUUUCCCUAGUCCUUUUCAGGUACUUCAGAAUAUUCUUGACCGCUGCCUAGUGCACCACUCCUGGAUCACUCUGAAACCUGCCUGCCAUACUUAUGUCCAGGCUGACAUCUGGUCUUAUGCAUAGAAUUGCAUACAUGAUAGAUCCUAUGGCUGAAUCAUAGGGGACGACACUCAACUUUUCUCUAUCUUGUGCAGUUACUGGAUAUUGAGUCUUACUCAACUUUAUACCUUGUAACACAGGAAAGAACCCCUUCUUGGAUUGUUCCAUUUUGAACUCCUUCAAAACUUUAUCAAGGUAUGUGCUUUGUGAAAGAUCUAUCAGGCGCCUUGACCUAUAUCUAGUGAUCUUUAUGCCCAAUAUCUAAGUAGCUUCUCCUAGAUCCUUCAAUGAAAAACAUUUAUUCAAGUAAUCCUUUACGCUUUCCAAAAACUCUACAUUGUUUCCAAUCAGCAAUAUGUCAUCCACAUAUAAUAUUAGAAACGCUAUAGAGCUCUGAUACGUCUCCUUCGUAUCUACUUUUCCAAACUCUUUUGCCCUUGUUUUGGACUCUAAUUUGCAUGAUUUGAAUGGAACUAACCCGGACUAACGUUGUUUUCAGCAGAAUUGCCAUGGUGUUCUUUUUGCGCAGAAAUUCUCGGAAUGAACUGGAAAUUUAUGAGGAUUUUUUGUGGAAUAUAUAAAAAAUACUGGCGCAAGAAUCAACCGGAGAAGUGGAGCGAGGAGCCCACAAGCCCACCAAGCGCGGCCCCCCUGGCCGCGCCUAGCAGGCUUGUGGGGCCCUCGGAGCUCCGCCGCCUCCAACUCCAGCUCUAUUUAGUCCCUUUCUUCCGGAAAAAAAUCAAGGAGAAGAGUUCAUCGCGUUUUACGAUACGGAGGCGCCGCCACCACCUGUUCUUCCUCUGGAGGGCAGAUCUGGAGUCCGUUCUGGGCUCCGGAGAGGGGAGAUCGUCGCCAUCGUCAUCACCAACCUUUCUUCGUCGCCAAUUCCAUGAUGCUCUUCAUCGUUCGUGAGUAAUCUCAUCGUAGGCUUGCUGGACGGGGAUGGGUUGGAUGAGAUCUAUCAUGUAAUCGAGUUAGUUUUGAUGGGGAUUGAUCCCUAGUAUCCACUAUGUUCUGAGAUUGAUGUUGCUACUACUUUGCCAUGAUUAAUGCUUGUCACUAGGGCCCGAGUGCUAUGAUUUCAGAUCUGAACCUAGUAUGUUCUCGUCAAUAUGUGUGUGUUCUUGAUCCUAUCUUGCAAGUUGUAUUCAGCUACUAUGUGUUACGACCCGGCAACCCCGGAGUGACAAUAGCCGGAACCACUCCUGGAGAUGACCAUAGUAUGAGGAGUUCAUCUAUGCACUAAGUGCCAAUGCUUUGUUCCGGUUCUCUAUUAAAAGGAGAACCUUAAUAUCCCGUAGUUUCCAUUAGGACCCCGCUGCCACGGGAGGGAUGGACAAUAGAUGUCAUGCAUGUUCUUUUCCCUAAGCACGUAUGACUAUAUACGGAAUACAUGCCUACAUUACAUUGACGAACUGGAGCUAGUUACAUAUCUCCCCAUGUUAUAACUGUUGCAUGAUGAAUGUCAUCCGGCAUAAUUAUCCAUCACCGAUCCAAUGCCUAUGAGCUUUUCCUACUGGUCCUUGCUACGUUACUUUGCCGCUACUGCUGUCACUACUGCUACUGUUACUGCUACUGCUGCCACUGCUGCUACUAUUACCAUUGCUAUUGUUGCCAUCACACCACUUUGCUACAGAUAAUUUGCUGCAAAUACUAAGUCUUCCAGGUGUGCUUGAAUUGAAAACUCAACUGCUAAUACUCGAGAAUAUUCUUUGGCUUCCCCUUGUGUCGAAUCAACAAAUUUGGGUUGAAUACUCUACCCUCGAAAACUGUUGUGAUCCCCUAUACUUGUGGGUUAUAAAGCUCCCACUAACUUUCUUGUAAAUAGAAGGUUCUCCAAAAACUUGUGUAAACCCAAACGCCUUGAUCACCUCAUCAAAGCGGUGAUUCCAACUCCAAGAUGCUUGCACCAGUCCAUAAAUGAAUUGCUCGAGCUUGCACACUUUGUGAGCAUUCUCUGGAUCAACAAAACCUUUGGGUUGCAUCAUAUACAACUAUUCCUUAAGAAACCCGUUAAGGAACGCCGUUUUGAUAUCCAUCUCCUAGAUUUCAUAAUCGAAAAAUGCAGCUAUUGCUAACAUGAUUCAGACGGACUUAAGCAUUUCUACGGGUGAGAAUGUCUCAUCGUAGUCAACUCCUUGAACUUGUGGAAAACCCUUUGCUACAAGUUGAGCUUUAUAAACGGUCACAUUACCGUCUAAGUCUGUCUUCUUCUUAAAGCUCCAUUUGUUCUGAAUAGCCUUUCGACAUUCAGGUAAUACUUCCAAAGUCCAUACUUUGUUUUCAUACAUAGAUCCUAUCUCGGAUUUCAUGGCUUCUAACCAUGUGUUGGAAUCUGGGCCCACCAUUGCUUUUCCAUAAUCCCUAGGCUCAUUGUUGUCCAACAACAUGAUUGACAAGACAUGAUUCCCAUACCACUCAGGAGCAGUACGUGCUCUUGUCGACCUGCGAGGUGUGACAAAAACUUGAUCUGAAGCUUCAUGAUCACCAUCAUUAGCUUCCUCUUCAACUGGUGUUGCCUCGACAAAAAAAUAUUUCUGCCCUGCACCACCAUCCUGUUGAAGUAGAGGUUCCACAACUUCAUCAAGGUCCAUCUUCCUCCCACUCAAUUCUUUCGAGAGAAACUCUUUCUCAAGAAAAGCUCCGUUCUUAGCGACAAACACUUUGCCCUCGGUUCUUAGAUAGAAGGUAUACCCAACAGUCUCUUUUGGGUAACCUAUGAAGACGGACUUUUCCGCUUUGGGUUCCAGCUUUUCAGGCUGAAGCUUUUUGACAUAAGCAUCACAUGCACAAACUUUAAGAAACGACAACUUUGGCUUCUUGCCAUACCACAACUCAUAUGGUGUUGUCUCAACGGAUUUUGAUGGUGCCCUAUUUAAAGUGAAUGCAACUGUCUCCAAUGCAUAGCCCCAAAAUGAUAAUGACAAAUCAGUAAGAGACAUCAUAGAACACACCUUAUCUAAUAAAGUACGAUUACGAUGUUCAGACAUACCAUGACGUUGUGGUAGUUCCAAUCGGUGUCAACUAUGAAACAAUUCCUCAUUGUCUUAAGUGAGCACUAAACUCGUAGCUCAGAUACUCACCUCCUCGACCAAAUCAUAGGAACUUGAUUUUCCUUGCUACGAUGAUUUUAGACUUCACUCUAAAAUUGCUUGAACUUUUCAAACGUUUCAGACUUGUGUUUCAUCAAGUAGAUAUAACCAUACCUACUCAAAUCGUCAGUGAAGGUGAGAAAAUAACGAUAUCCGCCGCGCGCCUCUAUGCUCAUCGGUCCGCACACAUGAGUAUGUAUGAUCUCCAACAAGUCACUUGCACGUUCCAUUGUUCUGGAGAACGAAGUCUUAGUCAUCUAGCCCAUGAGAGAUGGUUCGCAUGUGUGAAGUGAUUCAAAAUCAAGUGACUCCAAAAGUCCAUCAGCAUGGAGUUUCUUCAUGCGGUUUUCACCAAUAUGUCCUAAGCGGUAGUGCCACAAGAAAGUGGCACUAUCAUUAUUAACUCUACAUCUGUUGGCCUCAAUGUUAUGGACAUGAAUGUCAUCACAAUCGAGAUUCAAUAUGAACAAACCCCUCACAUUCGGUGCAUGACCAUAAAAGAUAUUACUCAUAUAAAUAGAACAACCGUUAUUCUCUGACUUAAAUGAGUAACUGUCUUGCAAUAAACCAGAUCCAGAUACAAUGUUCAUGCUUAACGUAGGCACUAAAUAACAAUUAUUAAAGUUCAUCACUAAUCCCGAUGGUAAUUGAAGGGAGAGCAUGCCGACUGCGAUCGCAUCAACCUUGGAACCAUUUCCCAUGCGCAUCGUCACUUCAUCCUCCGCCAGCCUUUGUUUAUUCCGCAGUUCCUGUUUCAUGUUGCAAAUGUGAGCAACAGAACUGGUAUCAAAUACACAUGCACUACUACGAGAGCUGGUGAGGUACACAUCAAUAACAUGUAUAUGAAAUAUACCUUGUUUGGCGUUGGCUGCCUUCUUAUCGGCCAAAACUUGGGGUAGUUGUGCUUCUAGUGACCAGUCCCCUUGCAAUAAUAACACUCAUUUUUCGGCUUAGGCCCAGCCUUGGGUUUCUUCGUCGAAGGGGCAACAACUUUGCCACUCUUCUUGGAGUUACCCUUCUUGCCUUUGCUGUUUUUCUUGAAACUAGCAGUCUUAUUGACCAUCAACACUUGAUGUUCUUUCUGGAUUUUUGACUCAGCGACUUUCAGCAUCGCCAACAACUCGCCAGGUGACUUAUUCAUCCCUUGCAUAUUAUAGUUCAACACGAUGCUCUUAUAGCUAGGUGGCCGUGACUGAAGAAUUCUGUCAGUGAUAGCUUCUUGCGGGAGUUCAAUGCCCAGCUCGGCUACAUGGUUAGAGUACCCAAGCAUUCUGAGCACGUGUUCACUGACACACGAAUUCUCCUCCAUUUUGUAGGCAUAGAACUUAUUGGAGGUCUCAUACCUCUCGAUCCGGGCAUUCUUCUCAAAGAUAAACUUGAACUCCUCGAACAUCUCAUAUGCUCCAUGACGUUCAAAACGUCUUUGAAGUCCCGGUUCUAAGACAUACAAAACUCCACAUUGAACUAGUGAGUAGUAAUCCAUAUGGGACUGCCAAUAGUUCAAAACAUCUUGGGUCACCGUUAGCGGGUGGUGCAUCACCUAGCGCAACAUCAAGGACAUAUUGCUUUUGUCCAGAUGUGAGGAUAUGCCUCAGAUUACGGGCCCAGUCAACAAAGUUGCUUCCAUCAUCUUUCAGCAUAGCUUUCUCUAGGAAUGUAUUAAAAUUCAGGGUUGCUACUGCGCGAGCCAUUGACCUACAACAUAAAAUUUUGCAAAGAUUACUUAGACUAUGUUCAAGACAAUUGGGUUUAGAUAAUCAUAUUACUAAUAAACUCCCACUCAAAUAGACAUCCAUCUAGUCAUUCGAGUGUGGCAUGAUCCAAUUCCACUAACUCAUGUCCGAUCAUCAUGUGAGUUGAGAUUAGUUUCAAUGGUGAACAUCUCUAUGUUGAUCAUAUCAACUAUAUGAUUCAUGCUCGAACUUUCGGUCUCUUGUGUUACGAGGCUAUGUUUGUACAUGGUAGGCUCGUCAAGUUUAACCCGAGUGUUCCACGCGUGCAACUGUUUUGCACCCGUUGUAUGUGAACGUUGAAUCUAUCACACCCGAUCAUCACGUGGUGUCUCGAAACGACAAACUAUCCCAACGGUGUACAGUCCGGGAGAACACAAUUUUAUCUUGAAAUUUUAGUGAGGGAUCACCUUAUAAUGCUACCGUCAUCCUAAGCAAAAUAAGGUGCAUAAAGGAUUAACAUCACAUGCAAAUCAAAAAGUGACAUGAUAUGGCCAUGGUCUUGUGCUUCUUGAUCUCCAUCACCAAAACACCGGCAUGAUCUCCAUCAUCACCGGUGCCACCAUGAUAUCCAUCAUCAUGAUCUUGAUCAUUGUGCUGCCAUCGAGGUUGUCGCGCUAUCUAUGCUGUUACUACUAAAGCUACUGCCUAGCGAUAUAGCAAGAGCAUCUACAAGCGCAAUUUUUUUAAGACAACCCUAUGGCUCCUGCCGGUUGCCGUAGCAUGGACAUGAAAGUCGAUAUUUAACUACUACAACAUGAUAAUCUCAUACAUGCAAUAUAUCAUAUCAUGUCUUUGGCCAUAUCACAUCACAAGCAUACUCCACAAAAACAAGUUAGACGUCCUCUAAUUUGUUGUUGCAUGUUUUACGUGGAUGCUAUGGGUAUCUAGUAUGACCACAUCUUACUUACGCAAAGCCACAACAGUGAUAUGCAAAUUGCUAUUUAACCUUAUCCAAGGACCGCCUCGGUCAAAUCCGAUUCAACUAAAGUUGAAGAAACAAACACCCGCCAGUCAUCUUUAUAUAGGACACUUCAUCGGCAGUGCCCUGCCCUCCUCGGGCCGCUCCAUGACAAGGACAAUGCUCACCACAUGGGUGGUGGCCGGGAUGUAGGCUAGGAUAGGCUCCUUCUCCUUCGACGCGGUGAGGAUGGGCAUGGUGGAGAGCACACGCUCGAGGUCGCGGAAGGCCUCAUCCAAGAUGAUGUGAGUGCCAUGAUUGUCACUGUAUGCUUGAGUGUGUGAUCAUGAGAUGAUAUAAAGCCAUUUCACAAUAUUGAAUUGUUUUCUAAAAACCUUUACUAGUUUCUGAUCAAGGUAAAAACCCUACUUUGAGUUGCACCACAUGCUUUUGAUGUCAAGCAAUGAUGCUACCCAAAGUUGGUGAUAUGAUUUUAGCUUGUCUUUAUAUUCCAAAACCACAAAAAUAAGUAUUUUUAUAAUCAUUUCCCUAAUUGAAUUACAUGUCCAUUUCUGAGGCCAGAAUUGGUAUUCCUACAUGGAAAAAUACUUUUAUGCCUUAGAAAAAUCUGAUUAAAUUUAGAGAUGAUCAGAAGGACAAAUAUUUUCCAUACAUAAGAUUUUAAACCCUAUUUUAUAUUAUAAUUAUUUGAAUAAAACCCUGAAAGCCAUUUCUGUCUGUUUUGACCUUUUGAAAUAUUUCCAAAGGAAAUAUUCUCAAUAAAAUCCUAGAAAAUUCCAGUGGUAUCCCUAAGUCAUAUUUGGUGUCCACAUAAAGUUUCACCUUGAUCCAAGGUGAUUAAGAACCCCAAAUAACCCUAAAACCCCUUCUGUCCAGAGUGAAGUUAGAGCAACUCUACAUAACAAGUUUGUCCUAGGACGCUGAAUUUUUGCACGAGUGCCUAAUACCUCAAAUGAGGAUUCCACACCAAAAAUGGGAUUUGUGGGACUUAGUUUGCCCACACUCUCUUAGGAAGGGACAGAUCUAGUCAAAUGGAAGUGUUUUCAAGUUUACAAAGCUAAACUUGUCCAAUGGAGCUCAAACUUGGUGAAACCCCAUGGUUUAGCACCAAACCCAAACUUGUUAAGUUGAAGCACCAGUGGUGGGGUGCAACCCCCUCAAACCACUGUCGUUCACCUUAUGGCAGAUAGGGAAAAUCCACCUUAGCCACAGCUAAACCCAACCCCUUUGCUCCAAACUCAUAGAUUAGGUGGCCAGUAUCCAUAUCUAAGCCCAGUCAACUGGCCCCUCACUGGUUCAAAGUGGAAAGGCCAAAAACUCCAAUUUAGGCUUCAGUUCAAGGCUGACACCACCAGUAUUUCUUGUCUCCCUUGACGAGUCAAAGCUCCCACGAGACCCGAACGGCUAGCCACACUCCCAGCCAGUGCCAGGACAUGCUAGACACGUCCAAAGUGCCUCAGAGUGCACCAACAUGCCGUGGCAUGCCAAAACUGCGCUCUGGGCGCACUACAGGAAGCCACCGAGGUGGGUGCGACGCUCUCGGCCAGUUCCAGCCUCCCCCGAGCUGACCAACCUCUUCCCCAACAACACCUCUGCGUCAAGCAACCCUCAGGGCCCCUCCUUCCCCCACGCUAGAGCUCGUGCGACGCGUGCCCGCGCGUACCAGAACCGGCCAAGGUUGCGCGGCCACGGAUGCUCGACUCCUCCCUCUCUCCCUCUGCAACAGAUGGUUCUAGUAGUCCAAAACCAUGUCCUGAGACCGUGGUUUUGACCCCAGGACCUCUCUGCACCCCCAUGCGUGCCACGGUGAGUCACCGGCGCUCCCGAAUCGGCUCACCGCCGCGGGCCAAUUUAUAGCCCUCCCCCUUGCUCCAGCACCCCUCAGAUAGCUUCACCACGACCACUAGCACCUCCCUAGCCACCCCAGCAAACCAGCACAACCCUGGUGCUCGAGAUCGACCGAGGCCCCUCCGCCUCGGAGCUCCGGUUGAUCUCUGGCUACACGACGGCUCCUACGCCCGUCGACCCACCAAACUGAUCCCCUCAACCCCAGGAAGCUUCCCGCAACUCGCCCGAGCAUUUCCGUGCCUCUAGCCAUCUCCUCGACCACCUCCCGUAUCUCCUCCGCCGUGACCUCCUCGUCGCCGGUGAACCCCUGCCUCUGCGACGUUGUUCCGACCACCAGCAGGUAGGGGACAUCAUGGCGAACCUAUUCCAGCCCUUGUUGGGGACUUGAGAGCGUCGGCAGCCUCGCCGGCGUGCUCCUCCUCCCCUCUGGCCAGAGGUAGGAGACGACCCGGACAGGUGUGUCCCACCUGUCGGUGGCCCAGCCUCCUCCCCUGCGCUGCCCACAGCCACUGACCGCAGGUCCCCGCACGUCAGGUUCAAACCUGACGGCGCACGUGCCUGGGCAGGCUGUCGGCUGGCCAUGGGCCAACCCAGUUUCAGGCCGAGCCAGGCCAUGGACUUAGCCCAUUUUCUUUUAUUUUAAAAACCCGAUUUCUAAUAUUUUUAUAAUAAACAUUUAACCAGUGUAAAAAAUAUAAUUUUUCCACUGUUAUUCUCCUAAAAAUAUGUAGUAUUUAAUAAUAUGAUUGGAUGGAUUUUUCAACAACUAUUCUAUUUUACAAUAAUAAAAAGGACUAAAUUGGAAUAGUUUUGCUUCUAUUUGGUUAAUUUUAAAAAUGUUCCUUCAAGAGAAUUUGUCGUGCUCGCCCAUGGUAAGCAAUACAGCCGACUCCCCCGCCGCCACGUGUGAGUGGCCUCAGGGAGCAAGUGAUGAUGAGAGCUGGGUAGACCCAGUAUUGCCUCACCCGAUCGCAGUCUGUAGAGGUCGGCGGUACGGCCGACUUCACUAUAGCCAUGCGCGCACGGCGUCAUCGAGUGGUUGGUCCUGUGUCGCAUCCCAUCGGAGGGGAUGAAUCUUGACGUAUGGGCCGAUGACUUGGCAGGAAGGGGUCCGUCAGCUGGCGGGUUGCCUAGAGCCGUAGGGAUGAGGACCCAACUGCAAACCAACCAAAGCGGCUCGAGCCGACCCGCCAGAGCAGGCUCCCAAGGGGCCGAGCCGUCCCCGAUGUUUUGACAAAAGGGGCAUGAGAUAAGAUGAGGCUACCCUAGGGUUAUCCCCCACAGUAGCCCCCGAAGCCGGGAGACCACCAUCGAGUGGAACGUCGUAGUGCUUCGGUUGUGGGGAGCGGGGCCGCCAUGUGCCGAGCGCCACAGGCCCGGCCGAGUCGAACCACGUGGAUGACUGGAUAGGGCCUGGAGUUGGGGCCCACCCAUCCAAGACCUCGCUCCGCGUGCGGGUUCUACUGCGACCGAGGAGGCCAUCGGUCGACCUUCCCGUGCGAAUUAACACGCCCAUGCGGAGUGGGGGGAGUGGAGAUCGUGCGCAACCGAGCCAUUCCUCCACUUGCGGUGCGGGGGUUUAAAUGAAGGGGAGGGGCAUGGAGCAGGCACUCCGCCCUCAUUGCCCCCAGCCCCUCGCCUUCCUUGUUGUGCCCAAGAAAGAGAGAGAGAGGACGAGCAAACGUCGCGUGGACCCCGCGAGCGCCACCGGUCGCCUCCGAUGUCAAUCCCCCCAUUCGGGAACUUCUUCCGCACUGGCCACGCCACCGCCUCGCCCGAGCCCGUCCCGAGCCAACUGAUGGUGAGCAGGUGGGAAUGGGAAAUCAGCAACAUCAACGAGGACCACAUCGAGACCUCCGCCAACGCUAUCAGUUGCCACCGCAAAGCGGCGUGGAGGCGCGGCCGCCCGGGGCUGAGCAUGUCCCAGCACCCCGGCACAGAGAAGUAGUGGUCUUCAUGGAGCACUUCGUCCGCGGAUUCGGGCUGCCGGUGAGCACAUUUUUCCGGUGGUUCCUAACCAAGUUCGGGUUGCAGCCCCACCACCUUGGGGCCAACUCCAUUCUGCAGCUCUCUGCCUUCCUCACGCUAUGCAGGCGAUAUCUUGGAAUUGAGCCACAGCUCAACCACUGGUGCCUCCUCUUCUACCUCAAGAAGCAUAUGGUGGAGGACAAGGCGAGAGGGAUGGAGAUGACCACGUGUGGGGCGGCCCUCAUCUACAACCGACUUGAACCGGCUUCCACAAGUGCCGUGGUUUUACCACGAUAGAUGUCCUCAUGAAAGGACUUAGUGAUGAGACCAUCGCAACUCUGUGGCGACUGAAAUAGAUUAAUCGGGAUCAGGAAGCGUGUUUACCCAGGUUUUGCCCCUCCGAUGGAGGUAAAAGCCUACGUCCUACAUUGUGUGUAUUGAUAAUGAAAUCUAUUAGAAGGGUGCUAAUUCGCCUGACCUAGCUCUCGAUCUAUGGUUACUUUCCCCCAUUGUACCUAGAGACUCACCUUUAUAUACAAGACGAGACCCUAGGUUUACAAGAAUCUGGGUCACGUUAUGACUCGUGAUCCGAUAUGUCUCUAACUCGCCUUGCCUUUCAAGCAAGGCCUAUAUUCUGCCUAUCUUGUACCUCAUGGGCCUUGAGCCACCAUCUUCAUAGCGAGAACCGCCAGGCGACUUACUGGAACAGGCCACCUUGCACCUUUGGUCUUGUUCAUCUAAGCCCAUCUUGAGUACAUUCUUAAUCCGCCAUAAUCAUGACCCGACCCAUAAGGCGAGUUAUACGAUGGGGUCAUAUCCCCAACACCAAGGUUCUUCUCCAUGAGUCGGUGAAGAACUGGCAGCGUUCGUUGUUCUACGUGAAGAACAUGGAUCUGGCACUGGACCUCAUCAACCUGCCUCCCUUCGUCAACGAGUAGCCGACUGCGUUACUACAUUGGGGGAAGAAUCGGAAGAAAACUAUAAAGGCGGUGAAUCAAGCGGUCAACAGGCUCCGGGUGCUGACCGGCGUGGAGGGCCUCAAGGCCGUCGACCUCAUAACCACCAUGAUAGCACGUCAGAUCCUACCGGUUUAGCACCGCUCGCACCGCAUCUGCAUCAUGUGGGGCAAGAACGAACCAUGCCAGUUCUCCAUGAAGGAAUUGAACCUCGUCACCAUCGCGAGGCAAGUGAAUCUGAUCACCACCGCCUGGCUGGAAGAGGUGGGGUGGAACUGGGGCAAGGCCCCUUACGAUCUGAUGCAUCCGUCACCCGAGGUACACAAAACACCGUCUCCUUUUGCCUUUGAAUUUCUUCCACCGGCUCUGAGUUACUCGUGACCGGGAUGGGCGAAACUUGUUUGUGGGACUGCAAAAUUAUAGGCAAUCAGCGACCGAUAGGGAGGAUUCGGACGUCGAGGAACCAGAGGAUUAUCAGGGCGUGAGCCAGCGGGCGAGAAGACGGCGAGCCACGAGAAGUCAGACGAGGAGCCGGGGGCAUAGAGUUGGAGGGCGAGGGUGCCAUCACAUGCAGGAUUGGACAGACGAUGACGACCCUAAUGUUGAAGAAGUCCACGGUCCAGGGGGCACGGAGGCCAUGGAGGAGAAUGCCUCCGAGCUGAGGGGGUGGACCCGACGGACGGGUCUCAAGCUGGUGCCCGAGGAGUCGACGGCGGCCGACCGUGCACGACGGAAGCUCCUGGUCGCCUCUAGACCGGUACCCAAGUGAGCAAUCGAGAUGCAGCCGGACGGCGUCCGCAGAGGAGGCGGGAAGAAGGCGAGCAUCGCCCCCUCAGGAAUGGCUCCGCGGCGUGCGAUCCCUACAACCAUCGGGUAGGUCACCUUUGAUCGUUCUAUUUGGUCUUUUUCUUUCUCGUUCUUUUCUUACCCCAUAUUCCUCACUGCGUAGAGCCCCACGUGCCCUGGGAANNNNGCCACGGAGGAGUGGGAACACGCCUCCUAGUGAGAGCAAGAGGUUGCUGAGUGAGUGUGGGCGACGAAGUAGCGCCUCUGGUGGGAAGACGCGAUGAAGGGGUCCAGGCUUGAGGCGGCCCGUGCCGAAGGAGCGGACGAGUCAACGCCAUGGGGGAACGCCCCAACCACGUGGUCGUUGCGCGUGGGAGGACAUGCCGAAGCCGGUGCCAGUGCCACGGUGGAGGGGCAUGCGGCCGCCAACGCGGAGACAACCCCAGCUGGGGAUGUACAAGACGUAGAGGUCCCCCAUGGCCUGAGGGUGACCGUGUGGGCGACCCCAAUGCGAGCCGGGACGAUGAUGGAGGGUCCUGGAGGGAUGAAGUCGGUGGUAGCGACAGCGCCCCGGACGUCAUAAUGCCAGAGCCGGUGGGAGCCCUCCCGACCCACUCCAUGCAGACGCUGCAGGGACCUAGUAUUGUGGCACCGAGUGGCAUGUUGCCGUCCGGCACCGGGCCCCUCAUGGUGGUGCCGGGGGCCGGGGAGGUUCACACCGAGCGGAGCUGGAGCCGAUUCUUGCACCUAGCCGUAGGAGUCAUGGGCGAUGGCGAGUGACUCCACGAGCACGCUUGCGGCAACGGUGCGCGCGAUCAAGGCACAGUUUGCCGACUACGAGGCACAGGCGAAGCUGGAUGCUCACAGGGCGCUGGGCUGGAUGGCUCAUCAGGAGCAGUCCGUGGUGGUAGGUACCGCAACUUGGUUUUGUUCUUCAUGAUUUUAUUUUCAUAGCUUUCCAGUGGGGGCGCGCUAGCACACCCAUUGCGUGUAGCCCCUGAGACUCGGGCCAGCGGCAAGACAGUCGGGUCGAGUCUUUAAGCAGCGCUUUUCAUGACUUUGUCGCCUGCACGGCCUUCAUGACCAUCGGGUGAGCGCCUUGAGCAAGCUUUUCAUCCUGACUCAGGAGACCGGUGAUCGGCUGGCUGCCGUGAAGGUGGACCUACAGCGAGCGCAUGGUAAGUGUCCUCUUGUGCUUCUUGCUUCUUCUAGGGAGCCGCUUGUGAUGGUGGUGUUGUGUAGGCUCGACCCUUGACUCGGAGACCUUUCGGCGCCUGUUGGUGACAACUGAUGACCCACAAGUGUAGCGGAUCUAUCAUAAUUCUUUCGAUAAGUAAGAGUGUCGAACCCAACGAGGAGCAGAAGGAUCUGACAAGUGGUUUUUCAGCAAGGUAUUCUCUGCAAGCACUGAAAUUAUCGGUAACAGUUAGUUGUGUGAUAAGAUGAUUCGUAGCAAGUGGCAAGUAACAAUAGUAACAAAAGUGUAGCAAGAUGGCCCAAUCGCUUUUGUAUCAAGGGACAAGCCUGGACAAACUCUUAUAGGAGAUGAAGCGCUCCCGAGGACACAUGGGAAAUUCUCUCAAGCUAGUUUUCAUCAUGUUCAUAUGAUUCGCGUGCGCUACUUUGAUAUUUUGGUAUGUGGGUGGACCGGUGCUUGGGUGUUGCCCUUACUUGGAAAAACAUCCCACUUAUGAUUACCCCCUCUCGCAAGCAUCCACAACUACGAAAGAAGAAUUAAGACAAAGUCUAACCAUAGCAUUAAACUAGUGGAUCCAAAUCAGCCUUUACGAAGCAACACAUAAACUAGGGUUUAAGCUUCUGUCACUCUAGCAACCCAUCAUCUACUUACUACUUCCCAAUGCCUUCCUCUAGGCCCAAAUAAUGGUGAAGUGUCAUGUAGUCUACGUUCACAUAACACCACUAGAGGAAAAACAACAUACAACGCAUCAAAAUAUCGAACGAAUACCAAAUUCACAUGACUACUUAUAACAAGACUUAUCCCAUGUCCUCAGGAACAAAAGUGACUACUCACAAAGCAUAAUUAUGUUCAUGACCAGAGAGGUAUUGAAUAGCAUCAAGGAUCUGAACAUAUAAUCUUCCACCAAGUAAUCUAACUAGCAUCAACUACAAAGAGUAACUAACACUACUAGCAACCUUACAAGUACCAAUCGGAGUUGCGAGAUGGAGAUUGGUUACAAGAGAUGAACUAGGGUUUGGAGAUGAGAUGGUGCUGAUGAAUAUGUUGAUGGUGAUGAGUCUCCUUCGAUGAGAGGAGUGUUGGUGAUGACGAUGGCGACGAUUUCCCCCUCCGGGAGGGAAGUUUCCUCGGCAGGACGGCCCUGCCGGAGCUCUAGAUUGGUUCUGGUCGAGUUCCGCCUCGUGGUGGCGACGAUUCCUCCCGAAAGCCUCCUGAUGAUUUUUUCUGGAACAAAACCCUCCUUAUAGCAAAAAAUGGGAGCCAGAGGGGCAACAAGGGGCCCACAAGCCACCUAGGCACCGCCAGGGGGGUAGACCGCGCUUGGCAGGCUUGUAGCCUCCUGGUGGCUCCCCUAUGGUACUUCUUCCGCCCAGUAUUUUUUAUAAAAUCCAAAAUAAUUCCUCGUUGAUUUUCACGGCUUUUGGAGUUGCGCAGAAUAGGUAUCUCAAACUUGCUCCUUUUUCAGACCAGAAUUCCAGCUGCCGGCAUUCUCCCUAUUCAUGUAAACCUUAUAAAUUAAGAGAGAAAAGGCAUAAGUAUUGUACCGUGAAGUGUAAUAACAGCCCAUAAAGCGAUAAAUAUCAACAUGAAAGCAUGAUGCAAGAUGGACGUAUCAACUCCCCCAUGCUUAGACCUGGCUUGUCCUCAAACGGAAGCCGAGAUCAAUAAAUAUGCCCACAUGUUUAGGGAUAGAGGUGUCGACAAAACAAAAUACGGACAUGCAGGCAUCAUGAUCAUAAUUAGAACAGCAAUAACGUCAUAUAAUCUCUUAUGCUAAAGUGACAAUUCCUUCACAAAGUAAAGUAUGGAUCAAGAAUCUUAUUGAGAAUUAACAACCAAUAGCCUUUAGUCAUUGAAGCAAUUGCAAUUUAUCAUAACAUCGGAAAGAGUCAAAUAAGAGCUUGUAAAGCGAAUCCACAUACUCAAUCAUCCUUUCGUCUUCUACAAUUGCUAAAACUCACGUGGUACUCAUGAUAUCAAAGUUUCAGUUGGACACAGAGAAAGAUAGGGGCUCAUAAUUUUGCCUCCCAACUACUUACCUCAAGGGUAAUUUCAACAAUAAUAAUUCAUGGAUACUUACUUACAAGUUCAAUAUGAAUAUAGAUCUUUCCCUAGCACAUGACGUUAGCCAAGAUAAAGGCAAAAUAAGGAAUUGGUGUCGAUCACCAUGACUCUUUUAAGGACAAAAAGUAAAGGUACAAGAUAGGCCCUUCGUAGAGGGAAGCAGAGGUUGUCAUGCGCUUUUGAGGUUUGGAUUUGUGACCUGUUAGUGUGAAGGAACGUCACUUUAUAUUGCCCCCUGUGAUAAAGAACUUUAUUAUGCAGUCUGUCGCUUUUAUGUCUUCUUCAUCACAGGUUCGUACAAAGAUUAUUUUCCACACACUAAUAGAUCAUACAUAUUUAGGGAGAAAUUUUUAUUGCUUGCACCGAUGACAACUUACUUGAGGGAUCUUAUUCAAUCCAUAGGUAGGUAUGGUGGACUCUCGAGGAAAAACUGGGUUGAAGGUUUAUGGAUGCACAAGUAGUAUCUCUACUUAGUGCGGAAGUUUUGGCUUAUAAGAGGUGGAAGCAAGUGUCACAUGCUAAGGAAUAUUGUUCGGAACCAAGCAAACAUAAUUCAUUAUGUUGUCUUCCUUGUCCAACAUCUAGUUCUAAGCAUGUAAUAGUUUAAUGAGUGUUCACAAUCAUAGAUGGUGUCCAAGAUGAUAUAUUUAUAUGUGAACCUCGCUUUCUUUAUUACUUCCUAUUAAUUGCAACAAUGACCAAGGUCUACGUUUGUCCACCCACAACAAGUUUCAAUCAACAUUCUUUUUAUAUGUGAAGUCAUCACUUCCCAUAAGAUCAUAACAUGAUCUUUCAUGCUUUUGUUCUUUUAUUAUUCUUUCUUUAGAUCAUGGCAUGAGGCAAGGCCCUUAACUAAAAUACUCUUUAUUAUAUGACUCAUGAGCUCCAAUACAUUGGGGGUGACACAAAGCAAAACUCAAGCCUAGAACACUAAGAACUUCAUUCUACUAGAGAAAGAUAAACCCCAAAAAGGAUCGAACUAAGAAAAAGGUAAAGGCAAAAGAUGUAAUGGUGAUACGAUACCGGGGAAACUCCCCCAAGCUUGGCACAAGCCAAGGGGAGUUCCCAUACCCGUGCUUAAUUGUCUUCCUUCGAAGGUGAUGGUGGUGGACUUGUUGCAACCUAGGUUUGAUCCUCCGUCUUCCAAGGCAUAGGUGCUCCAUCAUGGAAAGAUGAUCGAGUCUCCGGAAUCCUCAAAUCUGCAGCCAACCAUAUUGAUUUGAAUCUAUACUCAUACUCACAGUUUUGGUUUUGCAGGUCAUAGAUCUGGGCUUGGAGGUGACCAAUUCUGUCAUAGAGCCUGGAGAGGUGCUUCCCGAUGUCAUUGGCAUCGAUCUUGUGCUUGUUGGUGAACUCCGUGAUCAUCAUGUGGUUGGCGUUGAGUCCGUGUUCCACCAUCCCUUGGCACUUGAAGACUUGCUGGUCCAUUGCUUCGAGCCUCGCCUCCACGCUUCUGGUCUUCUUGGGCCCCUAAACAUGACAGAUGUGCAACACCCCCUCACGCAUCUCGAUAGAUUGAGGGUGUUGCGGCACGCCCGCGAGGUAGGGAUUGAUGACCUUCUCGAAGAACUUGUCCUUCGGAACUUUUGGGGAUGCCAUAGCGAUCUAGAUCUGUCUGCACAGUAGCUCGAAACGAAAACACAGGAUAUUUGCGUGAUACGAGGGUCAGACCUUUCGGGAGAAUAUAUAAUGAAAUUUUCCCGACCAAAAAGAGGUACUACGCAAGAAAACGGAGUCCGGGAGGCACACGAGGUGCUCACAAGCCCCCCAGGAGCGGCCAGGGGAUAGGCCGCGCCUGGCAGGCUUGUCGCCUCCUCGUGCACUUUCCGGACUAUUUUAAAUUUUUAUAUUUUUCUAAAAUUUCCAAAACGGAGAAAAUUUGCUACUGGAAAAGUUUUGGAGUCGGUUUACUUACCGAAUCACAUACCUCUUCAUUUUUGGAGUCUGAAAUAGUCUGAUAAAUAUCCCUCUUGUACUCGUCCGGAGUUAUGGUAUUAAUAAUAUUGCUUUCAACAUUUAUGGGAGUAUGUGAGAUAUAAUGCUUGAUUCUUUGACCAUUUACCACUCUCGGAAAAUUACCUUCCAUGUUGUUGAUCUUGAUGGCACCGGAACGAUAUACUUCCCUCAACAAUGUAAGGACCUUCCCAUUUAGAGAGAAGCUUGCGUGCAAACAAAAACUUAAACGAGAAUUGUAUAGCAAGACAUAAUCACCUACAUUGAACUCACGUUUUUGUAUCCUUUUAUCAUGCCACCUCUUAACUUUUUCUUUGAACAACUUGGCAUUUUCAUAUGCCUGAGUUCUCCAUUCAUCAAGUGAUCUAAUAUCAAAUAACCUCUUCUCGCCAUCAAGUUUGAAAUCAAAGGUGAGGUCUUUAAUUGCCCAGUAAGCCUUAUGCUCUAGCUCAAGAGGGAAAUGACAUGCUUUACCGUAAACCUUUUUGAACGGAGACAUGCCCAUGGGAUUCUUAUAAGCAGUUCUAUAAGCCCACAAUGCAUCAUCAAGAUUCUUAGACCAAUUCUUUCUAGACCUAUUAACAGUCUUUUACAGAAUUAGUAUAAUCUAUCUAUUACUUAGCUCUACUUGACCACUGGACUGAGGAUGAUAGGGAGAUGCAAUUCUAUGGUUGACAUCAUACUUAGCAAGCGUUGUACGGAAAGCACCAUGAAUAAAAUGUGAACCACCAUCAGUCAUUAGAUAUCUUGGUACUCCAAAUCUAGGGAAAAUAACUUCCUUAAGCAUCCUAAUAGAGGUGUUGUGAUCAGCACUACUAGUUGGGAUAGCUUCUACCCACUUAGUAACGUAAUCAACAACAACUAGGAUAUGAGUAUACCCGUUGGAUUUUGGAAAAGGUCCCAUAUAAUCAAAACCCCAAACAUCAAAUGGUUCAAUGACAAGUGAAGAAUUCAUAGGCAUUUCCUGACGUUUACUGAUAUUACCUAUUCUUUGACAUUCAUCACAAGACAAUACAAACUUACGGGCAUCCUUGAAGAGAGUAGGCCAAUAGAAACCAGAUUGCAAUACCUUGUGUGUAGUUCUAUCUCCCGCAUGGUGUCCUCCGUAAGCCUCAGAGUGACACUUUUGUAGGAUCUAUCCCUGUUCAUGCUCAGGUACACAACGUCUAAUAACACCAUCUACUCCUUCCUUAUAAAGGUGAGGAUCAUCCCAGAAGUAAUGUCUCAAAUCAAAGAAGAAUUUCUUCUUUUGCUGGUAUGUGAAACUAGGUGGUAUAUAUUUGGCAACGAUAUAAUUUGCAUAACCAGCAUACCAUGGUGUACUACGUGAAGCAUUGAUGACAUUCAAUUGCUCAUCAGGAAAGCUAUCAUUAAUAGGUUGUGGGUCAUCAAGAACAUUCUCCAACUCAGACAAGUUAUCUGCUACGGUGUUCUCAGCACCCUUCCUAUCAACCACAUGCAAAUCAAAUUCUUGUAGCAAGAGAACCCAUCUGAUAAGUCUAUGUUUAGCAUGUUUCUUUUCCAUGAGAUACUUAAUAGCAGCAUGAUCAGUGUGAAUAGUAACUUUGGAAUCAACAAUGUAAGAUCGCAACUUUUCACAUGCAAACACGACUGCUAAAAAUUCCUUUUCAGUAGUAGCAUAGUUUCUUUGGGCACCGUCUAGAGUUUUACUAGCAUAAUGAAUAACAUUCAACUUCUUAUCAACUCUUUGUCCUAGAACAACACCAACAACAUAAUCACUAGCAUCACACAUGAUUUCAAAAGGUAGAUUCCAAUCAGGUGGUUGAAUAAUAGGUGCAGUUAUCAAUGCCUUCUUAAGUAUUUCAAAUGCUUCCUCACAAUCAUCGUCAGAAACAAAAGGAAUAUCAUUUUGUAAGAGAUUGGUCAGAGGCCUAGAAAUCUUAGAAAAGUCCUUAAUGAAUCUUCUAUAGAAACCGACAUGACCAAGGAAACUUCUUAUACCUUUGAUAUUUGUAGGGCAUGGCAUUUUCUCGAUCGCUUCAACCUUAGCCUUAUCGACUUCAAUACCUCUUUCAGAAAUUUUAUGUCCUAACACGAUGCCUUCAUUAACCAUGAAGUGGCACUUCUCCCAAUUCAAUACAAGGUUGGUAUCUUUACAUCUCUGCAAAACUCAAUCAAGGUUGCUGAGGCAAUCAUCAAAAGAAGACCCGUAAACGGAGAAGUCAUCAAUGAAAACCUCAACAAUCAUUUCACAAAUGUUAGAGAAUAUAGCCAUCAUACAUCUUUGAAAGGUAGCUGGUGCAUUACAUAAGCCAAAAGGCAUACGUCUGUAAGCAAAGGUACUGAAAGGGCAGGUAAAAGUGGUUUUCUCCUGAUCAGAUUGUGCAACAGGUAUUUGGGAAAAACCAUAAUAAGCAUCUAGAAAGCAGAAGUGUGUGUGUUUAGACAAUCUUUCUAGCAUUUCGUCAAUAAAAGGCAAAGGGUAAUGAUCUUUCCUAGUGGCUUUAUUCAAUUUCCUAAAAUCGAUCACCAUCCUAUAGCCAGUAAUAAUCCUCUGUGGGAUCAAUUCAUCUUUAUCAUUAGGGACAACGGUAAUACCUCCCUUCUUAGGGACGCAAUGCACCGAACUUAGCCAUUCACUAUGAGCAACAGAAUAGAUAAUACCUGCUUCGAGGAGCUUAAGUAUUUCUUUUCAUACUACCUCUUUCAUCUUAGGAUUCAAUCUUAGGAUAAUCGGCAACUGGUUUGGAAUCAGGAUCGGUUUUGAUUUUAUGCUGGCAUAGAGUGGGACUAAUGCCCUUAAGAUCGUCAAUAGUAUAUCCAAUAGCAGCACGGUGCUUCCUCAAAGUUUUUAAUAACUUCUUUUCUUCAUGCUCUGAAAGGUUAGCACUAAUUAUAACAUGAUAUAUCUCUUUUUCAUCGAGAUAAGCAUACUUAAGAGUAUCAGGUAACUGCUUAAGCUCAAACAUAGGAUCACCCUUUGGUGGGGGUGGAUCUCCAAGCAGUUCAACAGGAAAAUUAUUCUUAAGGAUAGGAUGUUGUUCAAAGAUAACUCUAUCUAUCUCAUUCCUUUCAUCCAUAUGCAUAUCAUUUUCAUGCUCAAGCAAGUAUUGCUCUGAAGUAUCAGUAGGAGGCACAUCAAUAGAAGCUCGAGAAAUUAUUUCAUCUUUACUAGACAACUCUUUUUCAUGCGGUUGUCUACCAAGCUUGGAGAAAUUGAACUCAUGUGACACUCCUUCAAAGCCAACAGUGACAGUUUGCUUCUCACAGUCAAUAUGAGCACUGACAAUAUUGAGAAAAGGUCUGCCAAAUAUGAUGGGACAAAAGCUAUCUUGUGUGGUAGCAAGAACGAGAAAAUCAGUAGGAUACUUAGUUUUACCACACAAGACUUCAACAUCUCUAACAAUUCCCAAAGGGGAGAUAGUAUCUCUAUUGGCAAGCUGAAUAGUGACAUCAAUAGGUUCCAUCUCGACAGGUGCAAUCUUGUCUUUAAUUUCAUCAUAUAAAGAUUGAGGUAUUGCACUAACAGUAGCACCCACGUCACAUAAACCAUGAUAUCAAUGAUCUCCUAUCUUAACAGAAACAACAGGCAUCACUACAAGAAAUAUGUCAACUAACGACCUUUUGUCAGUGACGCUGGAAAGAAUGGUUAUAAAUCUAUGACCAUUUGACACCAUUUGGUCGUAAGCUGUUUGGACGGGUCCUAGCCCCAAAAACUAACGACCAUUUUCGUCACAAAGGUCAUAACUUGCUUACUGGAAAAGGUCAUAAAGCGAACAACACCUGGCGCUGCCUUAUUUCUUGGUGAUAAUGACCAAUCUGAAUGGGCGUUACUAAAUAGUUCGAAUGCACUAGGCUGGUUACGCAGCCACCUCAGCAGCCUCACUUACUUGUCAUUGAGGUAGGACCCAUUUGACAGGCAGGUGAGCACACAAUAAGGGGCCGACAACCGAGUGGGGACAUGCGCGAGCCUCGCUUAAUUCCCGAAAAAACAUGCGCGAGCGGGGACUCAAACCCACGACCGAGCGCUUUCCACUAAGUGUUUGCUACCGCUGGGCUAGAGAGGGACAAUUGCUCAGGUAUCGGUAUUUGGGUGUAUAUUAUAUUAAAUCACGGGUCUCUCGUAUCAUUGACAAGUGGGACCGACGGGGACGACCAACAUUUGGCCAAUUUCUGACAGGGGCCAACACAUAGCCAAUUUCCGAUAGGGGACGAGCAAAUCUAGAUCUCGGGGGCGGCGGCGACCGACGGGGACGUGGCGGCGGCGAUCGACGGGGAUGGGGGCGGCGGUGAUUGAUGGGGAUGGGGUCAGCGACCGGCAGGGGCGGUGACCAGCGGUGGUGGUGCUAACGCCACGACCACCUCACCCAUCGGCAGUGGUGGUGGUGCAGACGCCACGGCCACGACGACCUCGCCCGGCCAGUGGAGGUAGUGGUGGUGGUGCCGCUCGCCUCAGCCACCCCGCCCACUUGUAGUGGUGGUGGUGCCGCUCGCCUCGGACAGCGACUUCGCCCACACAUGGGGGACUCGCCGCCGCCGAGCAUGAGGGACUCACAACCGAGCAUGGGGGACUCGCUGCUGCCGCCGGUAUGCUCUCUUCCCCCUCUCCUCUUCCCCCCCCCCUCCCCUCCCCCCCUCUUUCCCCCCUCUCCCCCUCGCUUAUUUAUUUUUUUCAAAUUGUGAAGAGAAUUUCUAUUGAUGAAAUUGUUAGGAGAAUUGCAGUUAAUGAAAUUGUUACACCUCUGAAUAUGAAGGGAGUUGAUGUAGAUUUGAUGUUACACCUAUGAAAUUUUAGCACCUUAUUUUCACCACAGUAGUUGAUGUAGUACACAGUAGUUGAGAUUUUUCAGCACCUAUGAAAAUUGAUGUUACACCUCUGCCUCAAAUAUAUUUAAGAACAUCAAUAUUGAUGUAGAUCUGAUGUAAACUAGGAAAAAUCUCAUUGAUGUAGAUUUGAUGCAAUCUUUGAAAUGUCAUUCUUGUAAAUUUACAGUGUUGUUAUUAUUGGUAGUUUAACCAAAAUAGUUCUUUGUGGCAGCAUAUGUUGUUAUUGUUAGUGGUUUAACCACAGUAGUUGUUUGUAAAUCACCUUUGUUUUUUUUGUGAAGCACCAUGUUUUUGUUAGCUUUUCUUUUCUCCCAUGUUCACCACAACAUCUGUAUUUCUAUUUGAACUGCUUUUUAUUGCUCCCAUGUGAAAUCAGUAAACCAUGUGAACCGGACUAAAGUAGUGAGAAAUUGGAAAUAGCUGAAUGUUGUGGUUAGGCAGUUAGCAUAUAAAGUUUGUUGCCUACCUUAUUUUCUAGAUUUUUAACUGCCAUUACUGCCAUCCAUUCUCAUUAAUUAAUGUGAUGCACUUAGAUAGAUUUGCUAACUUGCAACCAUUGCUUUGUUUGGCAGAUGGAUAGAAGCUGGAUUAGAAAAGGAGUUAGAAGGUUUUCGAAAGAACAUAUGAAAGGAGUUGAUGAAUUCAUGCAAUUUGUUUGGCAAAUUUUUCCAAGGAUGCUGUCAUUGUUUGCCCAUGCUGUAAUUGCCUCGAACGUUUGAGAAAAGCUCAAGGAGUAGUGGAAGAUCACAUUCUUCUUAAUGGGAUGGCCAGCACAUAUGAUAGAUGGAUAUAUCAUGGAGAACCUUCAGCCGGACAACCUCAACAUAUUGAAGCUGAUACACAGGCCCCUCAUAUGAUGGGUGGUGGUGAUGCUGGCAUUAAUUUUAUGGAAAAUACUUUGCGAGAGAAUGCUGGUUUGGAUGAAGAGGAUGGGCAUGAAGAUGAUAGGAUUCCUGACCUAUUGAAGGAUCUAUAUGGUACUGAAGAUCGUGCUGAUGGGCAAAAGUCGAUGUUUGCUGAGGUGUUGGAGGAGGCUAAGCGCGCAGCUCAUGAAGGGGGUAACUUUUCAAGAUUUACCUUCACCGUGAAGUUACUCCACAUAAAGUCUUUCUACCGGAUUAGCAAUGCUGCAUUCAACGCAAUACUCUGCCUUUUGACCUUGCAAUUCCCUGAUAGCUGUGUUCCCAGGUCUUAUGAUGAAGCAUUGAGCAUAAUCCGCAGGCUGGGGCUAGGUUAUGUUUCAAUACAUGUGUGCCCAAAUAACUGUGUCUUGUUUCAGAAGGAUUUUGCGAAGCAUGACAACUGUCCAAAAUGCAAUGCCUCUAGGUGGAAAGAUGCUGAUGGGAAGAAGUCAAUAUGAUAGAAGGUACUGAGGCACUUUCCGUUGAUACCAAGGCUGCAGCGGAUGUUUAUCUUGAAGAAAUCAUCGUUGGAGGUACAAUGGCACAAGCUUCAGCGGCAACCUAUGGACAAUGUGCUGAGCCAUCUAGCGGACAGAGAGGCAUGGAAAGAAUUUGACAGUGAACAUGGAGAUUUUGCUCCACAUCCAAGGAAUAUAAAACUCGUCAUUGCCACACAUGGCUUUAAUCUGUUUGGGAACAUGAACACGUCUUAUAGCAUGUAGCCCGUUUUUGUGGUACCGUACAACCUGCCACCAUGGGCAUGCAUGGAUCAGUCCAACUUCAUGAUGUUACUUCUUAUCCCAGGUCUAGAGUCUCCAAGAAAGGAUUUUGAUGUCUUUAUGGAGCCCCUCGUAGAAGAACUGCUCUAGCUCUGGACUGGUGUACCUACAUACGAUGCCUCUAGUCUGGAAUAAAAGUUCAAACUACGUGCUGAAGUCAUAUGGUCCAUCCAUGAUUUCCCGGCACUGCACACUCUGUCUGGGAGGAUCACAGCGGGUUAUCAGGCAUGUGUCCAUUGUGACAAAGACCCUUGCUCAAAGAUAAUAAGGAGCAAGAUCUGCUAUAUUGGGCACCGCCGCUUUCUUCCCCGAAACCAUCGCUGGAGAAGAAGCAAAGAUUUUAAUGGUGAGAAUGAAACCCGUGACAGGCCACCUAAAUUCACUAAGGAAGAGUUGGAGCAGCAACUUGAGAAGGUGAAGGAUGUGAGACCAGGAAAGCUUGCAAAGAAAAGAAAGCGCGUGAAACAUCAAUGUUGGGACCGGAGGUCUUGUUUGUGGGACUUGCCAUACUGGGCUGGUCUGAAAUUAAGGCAUAAUCUCGAUGUAAUGCACAUUGAGAAAACCAUAUGUGAGAAUCUGCUAGGGACGUAUCUGGACAUUGAAGGGAAGACAAAGGACACGGUUAGUUCUAGGCUUGAUUUGGAGGACAUGGGCAUAAGAGAAGAUUUGCAUCUACAACAUGAUGAAGCUGAAGAUACAUUUGAAAUGCCACAAGCAUGGUAUACAAUGAGUAAAGAACAAAAGCUAGCAUUCUGUGAAUUCAUAAGUGCGGUGAAAUUUCCAGAUGGUUAUGCUUCUAACGUAGAAAAGUGUGUUACUUCUGAUGGAUUCAAACUUUCAGUACUGAAAACCCAUGGUUGUCACAUCCUCCUCCAAAGGAUUUUACCGGCUGGCUUCCAUGGAAUCAUGGACAAUGAUAUAUAUGAAGCGGUUGCUAAGCUGGGAAAUUUCUUUAGAGAACUGUGCUGCAAAACACUCAAUUUAACUAUUCUAGAAAGACUUGAAAAAGAAAUCCCAACUAUUCUUUGCAAGCUUGAAAAGAUUUUCCCUCGAGCUUUCUUCACCUUGGUGGUCCAUUUGGCGGUGCACUUACCAAAAGAGGCAAUGCUUAGAGGCCCUAUGCAAUACGGUUGGAUGUACCCAAUCGAAAGAACACUGCUUACUUGUAAGCAUUAUGUGCGAAACACGGCAAGACCUGAAGGUUCGAUUGCUGAAGCAUAUGUCGUUGACGAGUGCUUGAGUUUUUGCUCUAGAUACUUUGGUGAUGUGGAAACAAGAUGGAACCGGCCGGGAAAAAAUAGAGAGCGGUCUGAUUCGCAUAGUGGUGAUGUCUCGGUUUUCAACCAUGCCGUGAACUUUCUUGGAGCCUCGCGAUACUUGGAGGCUAGUGAUGAGUAUGACAAGAUGGUUUGGUAUGUGCUCAGGAAUUGUGCCGAGGUUAUACCAUAUAUCGAGUACGUUAUAAGUUGUGCACUCGUUAUUUAUUUACUUUUGCUUGGGUUGUUGGCACCAGCCUAAUAUUUUAAUGCACAUGUUUUGUUGGCAUUGCAGGAAAUGCAAGGAAGAGUUAAAUCAGGAAGAAAGCCAAAUCAAUGUUAUUACAAGGGUUGCCAAGGGAUUUGCUAAAUGGUUUAAGAAUCAUGUUGGAAAGUUGCAUGAGGAGAAGAAGGUUAGUGAUGAUCUAUUUGCUUUGGCAUGCUUACCGGAUAACUGAGUGCGAGUGUAUUCAACAUGUAUUGCUGAUGGUGUCCAGUACCACACCGUUGAUCGUGAGGAAAAAAGGAAGACACAAAAUAGUGGAAUCGUCACUGAGGGGUCACAUGAUCGUGAGAAAUUGACUUCUAUGGUCAGCUGAGAAGCAUCAUAGAGUUGCAGUACAUCUCUAGUGGAGGCAUCCAUCGCUCGGUUGUCUUAUUUCGCCGUGACUGGUUUGAUCUUGGUAGCAAGAAGAAGAGACUCUCUUGUGUCAAAUAUGAUGGCCACUUCAAAAGCAUCAACACUUCAAGGUGCUGGUAUAAGAGUGAUCCCUUUAUUCUAACAGCACAAGCAACAAUGGUGUUUUACCUGCCAGACACUCUUUUGCAAAAAAAAUGGCGAGUUGUGCAAAACUUUGAGCACAGACACUUAUGGAGUGUGACUGAAACUGAAACUAAAGUGGAAAAGGGCCCCGGUGGUAGUGGCCUAACAUAUCAGGAUGAUGAUUGUACAGAAGUUUCGGUGCAAGCUGGUGAUGACUCUAUGGAAGUUCCGGUGCAAAGCAGAGUGCGUAGGGACCGGGAACGUGUGCUCAUUGAUGCUGCAACAGUUGAAGGCGUCAGGAAAGGAAGAAAUGUGGUAGAGGAUGGACAUGAGAGCGAGGAUGAGGAAAACAGGACUGAUCAUACUAUGCUGCAAUAUUGUAGUGACGAUGAGGAAAACAGAAGUGGGCAUAGAGUUCCUGGUUCUGGUAUCGACGACGAUGAGUAGAUAAUAGACAUGAAGGUAAAUAUUGUCUCCUUGGUGAUCUAAAACUAUUACUGCAUGUUCCUUGUUUUGAUUGGUGAUCAACCUUCUCUAUAGUUUUUGUUGUUGUAAUCCUGAUGUAGUUUUUGUACUACAAUUCUCACCAGGUAGCAAAAUGCAUGAGACAGAUGGUUGUAGUGUUGGAGAGGCAGGUGGUGAAGAUCAUGAUGGCUGGAGAGGAAAACUGAUGUAGUUUUGGUGAUCAUGAUGGCUGGAGAGGCAAAAUGUUGUAUUCAGAAAUGGCUGGAGAGGCAAAAUGAUGUAGUUUUGGUGCCAUUCUCUUAGUUUUGGUGAGAACUGUUGGUUGUGAUGUGAUCUUGAUUCAAACUCUUGUGUUGUAAUGAAAAAUAUUGCAAACUGUUGGUUGUGAUGUUCCUGAAGUUUUGUUUGAACUGAAUUGAGAUGUUGUUUUCAUAGCUAUUUUCAAAACUGUUGCCUGUUGCUAUUGCCUGUUGCUCUUGCUGUUGCCUGUUGCUAUCUACAUCAGAGAUCUGAAUUGAGAUGUUGCAUGUUGUUGUUGUUUUCAGAACUGUUGCUGUUCCUGAAGUUCUCAGAGAGCGAGCUGGGGCUCUCUCUCGCCAAAAAAUAAUGCGCGAGCGGGGGUCGAACCCAUGACCUGGUGCUCAUUUCACUGGGUUUCUAACACUCGGCUAGGAACAGGUUGUUGGUUUUCUACUCUAUGCCCACUCUUUUCAAUACAACAAACCAAUCGACACACUCUUUUCCCCACUCGCCGACAAGUCGACCCACUCUUUUCCCACUCGCUGACAAGUCCACCUCUCCACUCGACCCGCUCCUCCUCUCCACUUGACCCACUCCUCCUCUCCGCCGCCAGCUCCUUCCUCUCCCACCGCCGCUGACUCCUUCCUCUCCCACCGCCGCCGACUCCUUCCUCUCUAUCUGUCGGCUACUCCUUCUUCUCUCCUGAGGUAUGAAUCCACCGAAUUCUUCCUACAACUUAGUUUUCUGCUACUGUUUAGAUUAGGGUUCUUGCCGCCGCCUAGAUUAGAUUAGAUUAGGGUUUGAUUAGGAUUGGUGAUGU
rnacentral:lncRNA from 1 species